rnacentral:lncRNA from 1 species
UUUGUCACCUCGCUUAAAUUUGUCACUGACCGGGCUUCUGAUCCGUAUGGGCCAUACGGGGCACCGUCUACCAUAAGUACUUUCAGCUUCCAGGGCGGCUCCAUCCUCGCCUUCUUGGGCCGCUCCUCAGAGAAACUCAAUGCCAUCGGCGCCUACAAACUUGGGGUUUGAUCCAUCUAUCCAUCAUGGCUAGCAUACGUGUCUGCUGACUUCCGUAUGUUUGGCUUCGGUGGAUACAUGUGUUCGACCUAUAUCUACUGCUUGUAUUUGCAGCUAAAUAAAAUGGGGAUCCCUCGCUGCUGCAUCCUAUGGAUGGAUGGAUCCCUGCCGUCCGUGCGUGUGUGCGCGUGCUCGCUCUUUGUUUCCAUAUAUAUUGUAUCGUCCUAGCCUGUGUAACUAUAAGAUGAAUAAAAGUCUCAGAAACUAAGUACUCCCUCCAUAAAGAAAUAUAAGAGUAGUGAUCUAGACGCUCUUAUAUUUCUUCGCGGAGGGAGGUAUUUUCCUGAGAAUUUAUACUUCUUACUUGCCAUGCAUGUCGGAAAAUAUUUACGCGCCUCCGUAAGUCAGGGUGGACAUGGCCUGGGCUCAGCCCGUGCCGCCCGCAAGCUCGUCGUUCCUCUGGCCGAGCUAGUUCGAGCUCUGUGCUCCGGCGAGCCCCCCAAAACAGCUUGACUUGGCCUCUGCUUUAGCUAUGCACUAUUGGAAAUCGGUUUUUCCCCGACUACCAGGUACACUCAGCAAAGACUUCGCCGAGUGUUACAGCCGGCAAACCGCACUCGACAUGCACCCUUCCACCGAAGCGUUGCCGAGUGUUUUUUACAGACACUCGACAACCAGGCACUCGGGGAAAGAUUUGAGCUCGAUAAUUAAAAACUUAAGGGCCCGCCCAAAACGUCGGUACUGGUCGAUUUCCCGGGUGCAAGAAUCCUCGAGCAGAAUAAAAAAAAAGGGAAGCGCGCCCACACCGAGCAACCUAUCUUCGUCAAUGCCUGGCAGGCUGGGGAGGCCACUAGCCGCAUUCUCAAGAAUACGAUGUGCACAAUGUUGUUCGGGUCAGAUCUCCACUGUCCACGAGAGCAAGCGUCGUCGACCAUCACUCUGAGAACCUCGCACGGGAACUUCCUCCUCCGCCCUCUGGCUGUCCAGUCGGUGGUGGCGGCAGUGACGGCGUACCAUAUGUGGUGGUGGGACGGAACGUCAAGAGCGAUCCGGACAAAGACGUGGAUGGGUCCAGGCGAAUGGAGGAGCGAUACGUCCAUUUUAAAUCACUAUUUCUUAUUACAGUUUCCUCUUCAUUAUCAAUAUUUUGCAUAUUAUUGCCCAAUUCUAAUGUAUUUUCCCCUUCAAAACACACAGAGAGGAAAAUUCUUAGGAAAUUACCGGACAACAUGAAAAGUGGGUGAAAACGUACCAAAAGGAAAAUCAAUUAUUCAGAGCUUAAAAAAUUCCAAGAAAAUACCGGAAAUUAUUUUGAAAUAAAAGAAGCGGCCAUAAUUUCCACCGCACAACAAACAAUCAUAGCAAUGAGCAGUAACUAAAUGCGAGAACGCCUUGAUCCCUAAAACUAAAACAAUCUUUUCACCGCGCAACAAACAAUCAUAGCAAUGAACAGGAACUAAAUGCGGGAACGCCUUGAUCCCUACAACUAAGACAGUCAGCUUGUGCUUAGCAUAGGUGAGGAUUGGGCCACUUGGUGCACUAUUGUUAUUUUGUUUUUUCGUAAUUACUCUUGCUUUCGAACAAACCAUGAGACACUCUUUGUAGCUUUACAGUGAACUCUUACUAGUUUCCAUCAACUGAUUCCUCCUACUUCUCGUUGGGCUUGACAUCCUUACUAAGCGAAAAGGCUAUGAUAGAUCGCUUCACUUAAGUGUUAUCAAGACUCUUUUUUUAACCAUUUUCGGGAGCGUAGUGCUUUUGUAAGUGCAAUUUGGUGAGAUAAAUAUUUACUCAAUUUGAUUUUUUUUGCUAAUUUAGUCCACUAAGGAUUUGCUUGAUGUUCAUAACUUGUUAGCAGGCGGUGUCGCCCUGUGUCACCAUGUGUCACCCUGAGUUAAAUUUGCAGUUGUCUCACCCUUCUUCCGGAUAGUCUCUGGCAUGUCUCACAGCUAUAGCACUCUGCCUCCUUCUGUAUUUGUCAUCCGCACUUUGCCAUGUGCACUGAACACCACAGAAUAUACAGCCAUGUACUCUCUCUGUUUUGACAAUUCCAGACUUCCCGCCACUUUCUCAGAUUCUUCAUGGUCAACUCUUGUCCAUCAACCGGCACCGAUAGACCCAGUCACCAACUCGAAUCUGGUACUCGUCAACACUGUUUCAGCACCCCCUGCACAAUUUGCCUGACCACAUGUCUGACCACCAGUGCCUUGGCCUGUCGCUGUGUCCCGUGCUUACCGCACGCCUCGCCGCUAUCACCGCGUCGAGCCUCUGCUGUCCUGGUCGAGUCUCCCGGGUAGCUAGCCCCCACUGCCUCAACCCCCACUGCAGAGAACCACCGAUCAUCACCGACCAAUGCCGACUAUGACGUCUCCAUCAGACCACUGGUACCCAGUCCGAUCCACGUGUCUCUCGCUAUCCCGCUGAAAUAGGCUUCGACUUUCCGAAUUCUUACGCCGUAGCCCCACCAUCAGCACAAAGUGAAGUCUUCCGCCGGACUCCAGCUCCACCUUCAACAUGACUCCAUGGUGGUUGUACGUGCCACCCUCCCGCGCCAUGUCGACUUCAAGCUCUCAUGUGGGCACCGUCUUGAAUCAACCCCGCGCCAUAGUCUGUCGAAGCCACACAAGCCCUCGGGCCUGCACCAACGUGUUUCCACGCCCCAGAAGUCGGCCACCAUCAGCAUCACGCUCCUAUGUCGUCGUCGCUGAAAUCACCACCGUCUUCUUCUUUGACCGGCAUCCCCGUCGAUCCGUCAGACAGUCCAGUCCGACCCAGCCGAAGUUAUCCGACUGCAACCAUGCUCCACCCCGCGUCGUGUCCGCCCCGCACUUCUCCGUGCAUUGCUUGACGCCCUUUGUUUGCAUGAUCCUGUCACAACAUGCUCCAGACUCCUUCGAGCCUUAUACGCACGUCGCCAUCCUCACCACGCACAUCCAUCUUCAUCAACUUGGCAUUCCGCUACACAAUCAAGCAUUCCUUCGCACCAACAGAUCACAUCCUUGAUGCAACACUUGAGAAAACAUGUAGCCAUCAGACCAAAAAAUAACGGUGGAUCCACCCGCCAACUCCUGUUGAUCUUAUAUGAAUAUGCGACGCGGCGUCUCGACACACCUUCAUGCUGCCAUCACGUACAACCCAUGUACAAAGCAAAGAAAGUCAAAACAACAUCCCUUGUAGCCUUCUCCGUGUAAAGAAUUGAAAAAAGUCCAAAACAAACCUUGAAUUUGUCAGCUAAAGCUAAAUCAAACCCUGAACUCUCAAUCCCUGAAAUCAGCACACCAAACUCCCUUAUCCCGGUCUAUUUUAAACCUUGAGUGGACUUAGCCGGUAUUUGCUGAAUUAGGCCAGCCCAUUAACGUCGUCGCUCGCGUGCGCGCACUGCUCUGUUUUUUUCCUUUUUCUAUUUUUUUUCUUUUCUCUUUUUUACUCAUGUCUAUUUUUUCUUCUUAUCCAAUGUACAUUUUUAACGCACACAUAAAAUAUUUUUUGAUAAACUUUUGAUACUUCCAUAUACAUUAUGUACAUUUUUAAAUUAAAUUUUUUCAUUUUUGUGAAUACAUGGUUAUAUUUUUUCCAAAUGCAUGUUUACAUUUUCUCAAUGACAAUAAACAUUUUAUAGAACCAAACGAACACUCUUCUGCAUGGUUCACCAUUUUUAAAUAUGUAGACACUGUUUUCAAAAACAUGCCAAGUAUAUUCUUUUAAAUGUAAGACACAAAUUUUUACAACACACACACUUUUUCUUUACAUUGUACACACAUUUUUGUUUGAAAAUGUCACAAACACAUUUUUUGAAACUCAUGAACAUUAUUGAAAUGCUACAUUUUUUCAAUUGUACGAAACAUUUUUUGAAUCACACAAAUAUUACUAUAAAUUAUAUAAACAUUUGUUUGAAUUGGUCCGUACAUUUUCAUAAAACCUGCGAUAUUUUUUAGAUGUCACGAAAUAUUUUCUUACAAUUUGUUCAGAUUUCGAAAUUUGUUCCUAUUUUCUAAAUUUUCAAAAAGCAUUCACACAUUAAAAUUAUGUUUAUGUUUCAAAAAGUGUUUGCACUUAAAUUUUUUGUACAACUUUCAGAAAAGAAAAGCUCGCUUCAUGUCUAGUCGGCCAGCCCACACGAGUACGUAGCCAACGAUCCGAAACAUUUUCUAAACAAAUUAUUUACAAAAUUAUAAAAACAUUAUUUGUAAAAUGUGACACAAUUUUUGAAAAUCCGAAACAUUUUCAUAGCAUGUGAAAAACUGUUGAAACUCUGAACAUUUUUUAUAGUUGUUUUUAGAAUCACAAGCAGCUUUUAAAAAUGCGAAUAGAAUUUCAAAAUUCCAGAAAAAAUUCAAAACACAAAAUGAAUUAAAUUUGUGCGAUAAAUAGAAAACUGGAAUGUUUUUUAACUGCUGGAAAAUUUAGAAAUGCGCGAAUAUAUUUUAAAGUUCAUGAUUUCUUGUUGUGUUAUAGUGGGCCGGCCCAAAUUCAGAGUAGCAGGUUAUCCCGGCCGGGAUUUUCUUAUUCCCAGUGUGCCAAACAGGUCUAGGGUCCAAAAUAGACCGAGAUUACAAGUUCAGAGUGUUAAUUUCCGGGAUUCAAAGUUCAGGGUUUGAUUUAGCUUUCGUAUACAACUUCAAGGUUCGUUUUGAACUUUUAUCUAAAGAAUUCCAUGUCCACCACACCUAGUUACUAUAGAUUUGGUUUACUAUCUUUCCUGCUCAUCAAUGCACGCAUCAUGGUGUUCUCUGACGCCCUUUUUUCCAACAAAAAACUCGUGUCAAUCUGCUGCACACAAUUCCGGCAUGCACGCACGAGCCAGCCGAACUAGGACCUGGAUCCGGCUUGCCUGCUCCCUCUCCAUGCUCCCAUCCGUGCUCCCACUCCAUCCUACGGUUGUCUUUUUUUCUUUUGUCUUUCUAUUCUAAUCAUCUCCCCCCUGAUUUUAAGAGGGUGGGGCCGCGCCUUAUUUUGUUCCAAUCAAAUCAAGCCACGUAAGCGGGAGCACGGAUGGGCACACACGGAGGGAGCAGGCAAGUCUCAUCCCUAGGACCUCGCCACGUAUUGCGCCCGAGCUGGCUCCUGGGACUUGCUCCCCUGGUCGUCGCUCCCUCAUGGGCGGAGCCCCGCGUGGGCCAAGACCCGUGUUGCGCUGCUACGUGGCCCUGCCUGCACGCACUCCGCUCCUGGUUUUGAUCGGAACCGAUCCGAUCUGACCUGCUACUAGCGCUAUCCCGCGCCGCCGCCGAAAACUCCUGGUGCAAAUCGAUUGGCCUCCCGCUUCCAAUUCCUUCGUGUACUCGCCGACUUCCGCCGCUUCGGAAAAUUCCAUCGAUAGUCCUGGUUUGCCAUCCACCACCAACGAGAUUGCUCCCGAUUGCCUGACACCAUGGAUCGAACUAAUUUCUUUCGCAGCCUUCGGCGUCAUCACCUCUAGAUCAACAACCGCAGCCUCAAAUCGAACCUUGCUCAUGAUACCACUUGUUAGAAUAAAUUCGAGGCGCUCCGUCGAUCUACCGAGAACCAACAAUCACACGAGGCAGGACACCAAGAUUUGUUAACGAGGUUCACCGAUAUGGCUACAUCCCCGGGGCAUGACUACGGGCGCUCCUCCCCAUGACACCAUCACAAUACCGCACACCGGCCACCCGGGCGCCGGCAAACGCCGCCGGCUCCCCCUGCGCGCCUGUACUAUUAUGUUGGCAUAUGUUACAUCGUGUGUCUACCCCCGAUAUAUAUGAGAGGCCUAGGAUACAGGUGUCCUAUUAGGACACAACUCCUACCCUGUCUACACACAGUCCAAAACCAAGUCCAACUGUAACCUAACUUGUACAAUAAUAUUCGACACAAUUCUAACACCAUGCAUGUCCGAAAAUAUUUACGCGCCUCCGUAAGUCAGGGUGGACAUGGCCUGGGCUCAGCCCGUGCCGCCCGCAAGCUUGCUGUUCCUCUGGCCGAGCUAGUUCGAGCUCUGUGCUCCGGCGAGCCCCCCAAAACAGCUUGACUUGGCCUCUGCUUUAGCUAUGCACUAUUGGAAAUCGGUUUUUCCCUGACUACUAGGUACACUCAGCAAAGACUUCGCCGAGUGUUACAGCCGGCAAACCGCACUCGACAUGCACCCUUCCACCGAAGCGUUGCCGAGUGUUUUUUACAGACACUCGACAACCAGGCACUCGGGGAAAGAUUUGAGCUCGAUAAUUAAAAACUUAAGGGCCUGCCCAAAACGUCGGUACUGGUCGAUUUCCCGGGUGCAACAAUCCUCGAGCAGAAUAAAAAAAAGGGAAGCGCGCCCACACCGAGCAGCCUAUCUUCGUCAAUGCCUGGCAGGGUGGGGAGGCCGCUAGCCGCAUUCUCAAGAAUACGAUGUGCACAAUGUUGUUCGGGUCAGAUCUCCACUGUCCACGAGAGCAAGCGUCGUCGACCAUCACUCUGAGAACCUCGCACGGGAACUUCCUCCUCCGCCCUCUGGCUGUCCAGUCGGUGGUGGCGGCAGUGAAGGCGUACCAUAUGUGGUGGUGGGACGGAACGUCAAGAGCGAUCGGGACAAAGACGUGGAUGGGUCCAGGCGAAUGGAGGAGCGAUACGUCCAUUUUACAUCACUAUUUCUUAUUACAGUUUCCUCUUCAUUAUCAAUAUUUUGCAUAUUAUUGCCCAAUUCUAAUGUAUUUUCCCCUUCAAAACACACAGAGAGGAAAAUUCUUAGGAAAUUACCGGACAACAUGAAAAGUGGGUGAAAACAUACCAAAAGGAAAAUCAAUUAUUCAAAGCUUAAAAAAUUCCAAGAAAAUACCGGAAAUUAUUUUGAAAUAAAAGAAGCGGCCAUAAUUUCCACCGCACAACAAACAAUCAUAGCAAUGAGCAGUAACUAAAUGCGAGAACGCCUUGAUCCCUAAAACUAAAACAAUCUUUUCACCGCGCAACAAACAAUCAUAGCAAUGAACAGGAACUAAAUGCGGGAACGCCUUGAUCCCUAGAACUAAAACAGUCAGCUUGUGCUUAGCAUAAGUGAGGAUUGGGCCACUUGUUGCACUAUUGUUAUUUUGUUUUUUCGUAAUUACUCUUGCUUUCGAUCAAACCAAGAGACACUCUUUGUAGCUUUACAGUGAACUCUUACUAGUUUCCGUCAACUGAUUCCUCCUACUUCUCGUUGGGCUUGACAUCCUUACUAAGCGAAAAGGCUAUGAUAGAUCGCUUCACUUAAGUGUUAUCAAGACUCUUUUUUUAACCAUUUUCGGGAGCGUAGUGCUUUUGUAAGUGCAAUUUGGUGAGAUAAAUAUUUACUCAGCUUGAUUAUUUUUUUGCUAAUUUAGUCCACUAAGGAUUUGCUUGAUGUUCAUAACUUGUUAGCAGGCGGUGUCGCCUAUGCCACCCAUGUGGUUUGGAGAAAACCUCCACCUUCUGGAACACCUUAUAGGAUCCCUAUUGGAUUUCUGGAACCAUGUGAGGGCUAACCGUUAUGGAGGUGAUGGUCCGCUCUUGAGGACAAUUUGCGCCAUCUUCUUGAACUAUGUGGUCUUUUUAAGCUUUCAGGUUUACAAGAGGAUGGGGUUUUGAAGAAAAUAUUCCGAUCUUUGGAGAGAAAUGUUUGAUUAGGUUAUUGGAUUAUCCCUUUGCUAUGAAAUGGAAUGGAUUAUAUACUGAAUUUAUCUUCAAGUUUCAUCCAGCUCAACAUGUACAUGGGGACAUGAAUUAUAUUUAUAAAUUUUUGUCUCGCUUCGGUGAAAGCACGAACCAAACUUGGUGGAGGCUUAUAUCCUUGAUACUUAAAUGCCCUACUCGUUGGCUUUCCAAAGAGAUGAUUGUUAAAAACUUCUACGCGCGACUUUCUCGAUAUGAUAAAGAAACACUUGAUAUGUCUUUUGGAGGUUGCUUUAGUGAGAAGAAUACUGGUGAUAAAUGUUGAGAACAUCUCGUAACACUAAAUAUUUGGAGAUCCCCAAAGUUAAGGAGUCAGUUAUAAAUUAUAAAUGUUAAGUCUUUUUCUGGAACUUUUAAAUUUCACAAGCCUUGUUCUAUGUAUGGACUUGAUUUUGAUACAAUUGUUACUCUGUGUAAAUAUUUUGCUGCUCAUAUUAAUGUUCCUAAAGAAAAAUUGGAGAAAUAUCAUGAUCAUGUUAGUGAUAUUGAAUGAUCAGCAAACAGUCCUAAAAUAGAUCAUGAGGAGCUAGGCAUCUUCUUCUAGGGUCAUCACAUCGUUGUCUGAUGCUCACAAUGAGCGAACUAAGUGGUACGGUUGUAUCUGCCUCGACCUGCCCACAUACUUAGAUGUAAUUCUAGUGUGGCACAUCACAACCACCCACUGCAAGAUGACGCUUUCUUGAGCUGGCGAUGCUGAUUUUUUCAAACAUGGAUUAAUGGGCUCCUUCUCGCCGUACUCUAGAAAUUAAUGCUAAUCAAAACCAUAUCUUGUGGAUGUGGAUGACAAGAUGAAAGGAAAUAAGAAAGUGAAUGAGCAGUUGUCUGUUAAGCUCUGGGAAAAGUAUAUCUCCACAAAUAGUAUUGUGCAUAUGUGCUGGUUUCAAAGGUUGACCCCUGCUCCCUGAUAGCUUUUACAUACCCAAGAUGGUCUUACAAGGUAUCGUGACAUGCGGUCCUGAUGAUAUUCUUGAAAGCUAUGACUCUUUAUAGAGCAAGUAUGACAAACUAAUGGAAGAAGCAGAGAAGUCCAUCCAAGAUGCAACGAUAUCAUGUAGAAGGAUGAUAUUGUGCAACUAUGUGCAAAUUAAGCUGGCAACGAACUAAUUGAUCAAGAGAAUUAAGAAGAAUGUUUGGAUAUCAUGUCAGGUUUAUGCGCAGAUUUUGUAGUGCACAUUGCCCCCACUUGGAACGCAGAGGCGCAUAGGCAGUGCCUUGUGUCAGGAGCGGAAUCAUAACUUAUAUCUGGGCAUGGUUGUGGCACUGUGGAAUCAGAAAUGUCAAAUAAUGGCUAGUGUAAGAUGUGUGUGUGGACAUGAAGCCCCUGGACCAUCACUUUAGGUUAACAAUGUUUGGAUAAUACUGUUUACCAUGCAAAGAAAACUUGUGCAGUAGGAACAAAGGAGGAAAAAAGAAGAGAACAUACUGAGAUGAGAGAUAUAGAAAGUUGAUGCAGAGGAGAGGAAUGGGUGUUUUGAAAUGGUAAGCGUAGAUAUAGUUGAUCAUUAGAAUGGACAACGUGGCAAUGUGGUGGUCAGGAGGAUGAAGAAUGGUGGGAACACAUGUUACUUUAGUGAAGUGUUACAAAGACUUCUUCCACCUGAUAAGCUACGUGCAAGGAUGUUAGGACCGUAUACUCUAACAGGGAGCCUUGGUCACACUAGUAGAAAAGGGGGCAAUGGUCCAGGCCGGUCCAGCCCAUUAGUCCCGGUUCAAUCCAGAACCGGGACCAAUGGGGGCAUUGGACCCGGUUCUUGAGCCCCGGGGGCCGGCCGGGCCAUGUGGGCCAUUGGUCCCGGUUCGUCUGGACCUUUUGGUCCCGUUUGGUGGGUCGAACCAGGACCAAUGGGCCUCGCUCCUGGCCCACAACCAUUGGUCCCGGUUGGUGGCACGAACCGGGACCAAAGGCAACCCUUUAGUCCCGGUUCACGCGACCAACCGGGACCAAUGGUGGUGCCUAUAUAUACCCCCCGCUCGCGAGCAGAGCACUCCCAGUGCUCUGCUUUUCGUGGCCGGUGAGGGGAGAGCUUUGUGGUGCUCUAGCUCACCUCCUAUGCACACGAGGUGUUCGAUGGAAUGCCCGAGCCACACUACUUAAGCUUUCUCCCCUCCAAGCUCGACCGCCAAGCUCCAUUUUCCUUAAUAUUUGUCUAGGUUUAGCGGUCCGUCACGCCCCGUCCCCGUCUUCACCGUCGUCGAUCACCCGCACCGAUCUCAUCGCCGGCACCACCGUGGUGAGCCUCUUGUUCUUAUCUUCUUUCUGAAAGGAAAAAUAUUCUUACUUGUAUGUUUAGAUAGAUACUUGUAUUAUUUUCUUACUUUUAUUAUUGCAUCUUAUAUAGUGCGAUGGUUUUGGUAUCCGCCCCCGUCGGCCCUCGUCCUGUCUAUGAUUCGGAUGUGGUAUAUAUUAUCUUUUCAUAACUAUUGGUUCAUUUAUUGUUUAUGACAAUUAUGCCGACCAACGUGACAUAGAUUUUAUUUAUCCAGGAGGUUGUUGAACCAGAAAUUCCAACCGACCCUAUUGUCGAGAGGUUAAAUUUAGUUGAAGAAGAAAACAAUUUCUUGAAGGAAAAAAUUAGAAAAAUUGAGGAGGAGAAGAUGAUAUUGGAGUUGCAUGUUGCGGAUGUCGUCGAUCACAAGAUCAAGAUGGAUGCAAUGCGCUUGAAGAUUAGAAAGAUUAGAAAAUAUGGCAUUCAUACCGAGGCUUGGUAUCAUUAUGCCGUUGGAUCAGUUGUUACAUUGGUUGCGAUUAUGAUCGCAUUUGUUUUCGCAUUGAAAUGUUUUACAUAGUUUCAGUGUAUGGUUUAAUUAAUUUAGAUGCUCUGAAGAGCUUUAUGUUGUUAGAUGAGAAUUAUGUAUGUACUUUGGUUUUAAUGUGAUGAUGAACUUCUAUUAAUUUGGUCACUUCAUUAUAUAAUGCACGCAGAUGAACCGGCAAUGGAUGUACGGUUCAAGACACACCUCCGAGUACAUUAAGGGCGUGCAUGAUUUUCUCGAAGUGGCUGAGGCAAACAAGCAUAAUGGUUUUAUGUGUUGUCCAUGCCCUAUAUGUGGGAAUACGAAGUCUUACUCUGACCGGACAAUCCUCCACACCCACCUGCUUUACAAGGGUUUCAUGCCACACUAUAAUGUUUGGACGAGGCACGGAGAAAUAGGGGUUAUGAUCGAAGACGGCGAAGAAGAAGAGUACGAUGACAACUAUGUGCCCCCUGAAUACGGUGAUGCUCCUGCAGAUCAAGAGGAACCAGACGAUGUGCACGAUGAUGCUGCAACGGGCAAAGCUGCUGAAGAUCAAGAGGAACCAGACGAUGUGCCCGAUGAUGAUGAUCUCCGCCGGGUCAUUGUCGAUGCAAGGACGCAAUGCGAAAGUUAAAAGGAGAAGCUGAAGUUCGAUCGCAUGCUAGAGGACCACAAAAAAGGGUUGUACCCCAAUUGCGAAGAUGGCAACACAAAGCUCGGUACCCUACUGGAAUUGCUGCAGUGGAAGGCAGAGAAUGCUGUGCCUGACAAAGGAUUUGAGAAGCUACUGAAAAUAUUGAAGAAGAAGCUUCCAAAGGAUAACAAAUUGCCCGACAGUACAUACGCAGCAAAGAAGGUCGUAUGCCCUCUAGGAUUGGAGGUGCAGAAGAUACAUGCAUGCCCUAAUGACUGCAUCCUCUACCGUGGUGCGUACAAGGAUCUGAACGCAUGCCUGGUAUGCGGUGCAUUACGGUAUAAGAUCAGACGAGAUGACCCUGGUGAUGUUGACGGCGAGCCCCCCAGGAAGAGGGUUCCUGCGAAGGUGAUGUGGUAUGCUCCUAUAAUACCACGGUUGAAACGUCUGUUCAGAAACGGAGAGUAUGCCAAGUUGAUGCGAUGGCACAGUGAGGACCGUAAGAAAGACGGGAAGUUGAGAGCACCCGCUGACGGGUCGCAGUGGAGAAAAAUCGAGAGAAAGUACUGGGAUGAGUUUGCAAGUGAGCCAAGGAACGUAUGGUUUGCUUUAAGCGCGGAUGGCAUUAAUCCUUUCGGGGAGCAGAGCAGCAAUCACAGCACCUGGCCCGUGACUCUAUGUAUGUAUAACCUUCCUCCUUGGAUGUGCAUGAAGCGGAAGUUCAUUAUGAUGCCAGUUCUCAUCCAAGGCCCUAAGCAACCCGGCAAUGACAUUGAUGUGUACCUAAGGCCAUUAGUUGAAGAAAUUUUACAGCUGUGGAAUGGAAACAGUGUACAUACGUGGGAUGAGCACAAACAGGAGGAAUUUAACCUAAAGGCGUUGCUGUUCGUGACCAUCAACGAUUGGCCCGCUCUCAGUAACCUUUCAGGACAUACCAACAAGGGAUACCACACAUGCACGCACUGUUUACUUGACACCGAUAGUAUAUACCUGGCAAGCUGCAGGAAGAAUGUGUACCUGGGCCAUCGUCGAUUUCUUCCGACCAACCAUCAAUGUCGAAAGAAAGUCAAGCAUUUCAAAGGCAAGGCAGAUCACCGGAAGAAGCCCGCCAUGCGUACCGGUGAUCACGUACUUGCUAUGGUCAAUGAUUUACACGUAAUCUUUGGAAAGGGUCCCGGCAGACUAGUUGUUCCGAGUGACGCUGGAGGACACACACCCAUGUGGAAGAAGAAAUCUAUAUUUUGGGACCUACCCUACUGGAAAGACCUAGAGGUCCGCUCUUCGAUCGACGUGAUGCACAUGACGAAGAACCUUUGCGUGAACCUGCUAGGCUUCUUGGGCGUGUAUGGGAAGACAAAAGGUACAGCUGAGGCACGGGAGGACCUGCAACGUUUGCACAAGAAAGACGACAUGCCUCCAAAACAGUAUGAAGGUCCUGCCAGCUAUGCUCUUACCAAAGAGAGAAGGAAAUCUUCUUUGAAUGCCUGCUUAGUAUGAAGGUCCCGACUGGCUUCUCAUCGAAUAUAAAAGGAAUAAUAAAUAUGGCAGAGAAAAAGUUUCAGAACCUAAAGUCUCAUGACUGCCACGUGAUUAUGACGCAACUGCUUCCGGUUGCAUUGAGGGGGCUUCUACCGGAAAACGUCCGAUUAGCCAUUGUGAAGCUAUGUGCAUUCCUCAAUGCAAUCUCUAAGAAGGUGAUCGAUCCAGAAAUCAUACCAAGGCUAAGGAGUGAUGUGGUGCAAUGUCUUGUCAGUUUCGAGCUGGUGUUCCCACCAUCCUUCUUCAAUAUCAUGACGCACGUCCUAGUUCAUCAAGUUGACGAGAUUGUCAUUUUGGGCCCCGUAUUUCUACACAAUAUGUACCCCUUUGAGAGGUUCAUGGGAGUCCUAAAGAAAUAUGUCCAUAACCGUGCUAGGCCAGAAGGAAGCAUCUCCAUGGGCCAUCAAACAGAGGAUGUCAUCGGGUUUUGUGUUGACUUCAUUCCUGGCCUUAAGAAGAUAGGUCUCCCUAAAUCGCGGUAUGAGGGGAGACUGACUGGAAAAGGCACGCUUGGAAGAGACUCAAUAAUAUGCAGGGACGGAUAUUCUUGGUCUCAAGCACACUACACAGUUCUACAGAACUCUACCUUGGUGACCCUGUAUGUUGAUGAACACAAGAACAGUCUGCGCUCCAAACACCCGGAGUAGUGCGAUGACUGGAUUACAUGUGAACACAUCAGGACUUUCAGCAGUUGGUUGGAAGCACGUAUCAGAGGUGACAACAUUGUUUGUGAUGAGCUGUACUUGUUAUCCAGUGGACCAUCUUCGACUGUUACGAUUUGGAAAGGAUACGAGAUAAAUGGGAAUACAUUUUACACGAUUGACCAAGAUCAAAAGAUCACCAACAAAAACAGCGGUGUCCGCUUUGAUGCAACAACCGAGAGGGGAAAUGACACAUAUUAUGGUUACAUAGUGGACAUAUGGGAACUUGACUACGGACAUGAUUUUAAGGUCCCUUUGUUUAAGUGCAAAUGGGUCAAUCUGUCAGGAGGCGGGGUACAUGUAGACCCACAGUACGGAAUGACAACAGUGGAUCUGAAAAAUCUUGGGUACACUGACGAACCGUUCGUCCUAGCCAAUGAUGUGGCACAGGUUAUCAUUGUGAAGGACAUGUCUACCAGACCGAGAAAGAGAAAAGAUAAGGAACCGAAUACAUCAUACGAUGAGCCAAAGCGCCACAUAGUUCUUUCAGGAAAAAGGGACAUCGUGGGAGUGGAGGACAAGACAGACAUGUCUGAAGAUUAUGAAAAGUUUCAUGAAAUUCCUCCCUUUAAAGUCAAGGCCGACCCAGCAUCCUGAUAAUCGAUGAAGAUUAUCCAUGGUUACGACGCAAUAAGCAAAUGACACAAGCGAAGAAAAAGUGAAGACUUUCUCCCGCAACUAUUAUGAUGAUACCAUGCCACUUUUGUAACUGACGAGUAUGAUACCAUUGUCCGUUUUGUACAUGCACAUGCUAUGUGUGGGUCAAUUUAUGAUACCAUGCCAACUUUCAACUUUUUCAGAGUUCAUUUGAAAUGCUUUAAUGUCUUAUGGUUCGGCCCUCGUAAUAAUUAAAAAUAGCAACAAUAAGUAUUUUGUUGUAAGUAGAAAUAAAAUAAAAUAAAUAAAGCAAGAAAGAAAACAAAAAAAAUAAAAAAAGUGUUUUCAAAUUUGAAAAGUAAUGGCACUAACAGAAAGUUUAUAAUUUUCCUAAAACUAAAAGCAAAAAGAAUUAAAAAAUAAAGCAAAAAACAAAAGAAAAUAAAUAGUGCAGAAAACAAAACAAAAAACAAUAAUAAGUAUUUUGUUGUAAGUAGAAACAAAAUAAAAUAAAUAAAGCAAGAAAGAAAAAAAAGUGUUUUCAAAUUUGAAAAGUAAUGGCACUAACAGAAAGUUUAUAAUUUUCCUAAAACUAAAAGCAAAAAGAAUUAAAAAUAAAGCAAAAAACAAAAGAAAAUAAAUAAUGCAGAAAACAAAACAAAAAAACUGGAAAAAAAUAAAAAUAGCAACAAUAAGUAAAGAAAACAAAAAAACAAAAAAAUGCCACCUACUGGGCCCACACGGCCUGAAUACGACUUGAAUCCCUACUUUGGGCCAGGAUUCAGGCCCGCAGUAGGCCCAGAAGGCCCAUCAGGCAAAGUAGUAGCUAGUAGGCCCGUAAGCCUGCAAUGGAGAGGAGCUCGAGAGGGGUGCGGCAGUGGGGCUUAUAAACCACUGCGCGCCCCUCUCAACUAGCGAGGUGGGACUAAACUUUGGCCCCGAUGCGGGCAACACAGGGGCCUUUGGUUCCGGUUGGUGGCACCAACCGGGACUAAAGGGGGGGCAUUGGUCCCGGUUGGUGCCACCAACCGGGACUAAAGGCCGCAGCUUCCCGCCCUUUGGGAUGCCAAAAAGAGGACUUUGGUCCCGGUUGGUGGCACCAACCGGGACUAAAUGGGGCAUUAGUCCCGGUUGGUGCCACCAACCGGGACCAAUGCUCCUUGUAUAUAAGUNNNNNNNNNNNNNNNNNNNNNNNNNNNNNNNNNNNNNNNNNNNNNNNNNNNNNNNNNNNNNNNNNNNNNNNNNNNNNNNNNNNNNNNNNNNNNNNNNNNNNNNNNNNNNNNNNNNNNNNNNNNNNNNNNNNNNNNNNNNNNNNNNNNNNNNNNNNNNNNNNNNNNNNNNNNNNNNNNNNNNNNNNNNNNNNNNNNNNNNNNNNNNNNNNNNNNNNNNNNNNNNNNNNNNNNNNNNNNNNNNNNNNNNNNNNNNNNNNNNNNNNNNNNNNNNNNNNNNNNNNNNNNNNNNNNNNNNNNNNNNNNNNNNNNNNNNNNNNNNNNNNNNNNNNNNNNNNNNNNNNNNNNNNNNNNNNNNNNNNNNNNNNNNNNNNNNNNNNNNNNNNNNNNNNNNNNNNNNNNNNNNNNNNNNNNNNNNNNNNNNNNNNNNNNNNNNNNNNNNNNNNNNNNNNNNNNNNNNNNNNNNNNNNNNNNNNNNNNNNNNNNNNNNNNNNNNNNNNNNNNNNNNNNNNNNNNNNNNNNNNNNNNNNNNNNNNNNNNNNNNNNNNNNNNNNNNNNNNNNNNNNNNNNNNNNNNNNNNNNNNNNNNNNNNNNNNNNNNNNNNNNNNNNNNNNNNNNNNNNNNNNNNNNNNNNNNNNNNNNNNNNNNNNNNNNNNNNNNNNNNNNNNNNNNNNNNNNNNNNNNNNNNNNNNNNNNNNNNNNNNNNNNNNNNNNNNNNNNNNNNNNNNNNNNNNNNNNNNNNNNNNNNNNNNNNNNNNNNNNNNNNNNNNNNNNNNNNNNNNNNNNNNNNNNNNNNNNNNNNNNNNNNNNNNNNNNNNNNNNNNNNNNNNNNNNNNNNNNNNNNNNNNNNNNNNNNNNNNNNNNNNNNNNNNNNNNNNNNNNNNNNNNNNNNNNNNNNNNNNNNNNNNNNNNNNNNNNNNNNNNNNNNNNNNNNNNNNNNNNNNNNNNNNNNNNNNNNNNNNNNNNNNNNNNNNNNNNNNNNNNNNNNNNNNNNNNNNNNNNNNNNNNNNNNNNNNNNNNNNNNNNNNNNNNNNNNNNNNNNNNNNNNNNNNNNNNNNNNNNNNNNNNNNNNNNNNNNNNNNNNNNNNNNNNNNNNNNNNNNNNNNNNNNNNNNNNNNNNNNNNNNNNNNNNNNNNNNNNNNNNNNNNNNNNNNNNNNNNNNNNNNNNNNNNNNNNNNNNNNNNNNNNNNNNNNNNNNNNNNNNNNNNNNNNNNNCUUCUUCUCCUCUAUUCCUUUCUUCUUCUCCUCUUUUUUUUCUUCUUUUUUUUUCUUCUUCUUCUUCCUUCUUCCUUCUUUCUCUUUUCUUCCUUUUCGUUAAUUAUUUUCCUUUCUCGAGGGAGAAGAAGAAAAAGAAGAGGAGAAGAAGAAAGAAAGGAAUAGAGGAGAAAGAAGAAACUUCAACACGAGCUAGGGGGUGGUACCGAUACCCCCUCCCCGAUAACUCUCGAGGACACCCAAACCCUAGAGAGAAAAUGAUGUUGGUCUCCUACCCCCUCCCGCCGUGCCCCUACCCGACAAAUUAACUCUCUCGAGGCCACCCAAAUUUAUCAAGUUAAAAGAGCGUUGUCGUCGAGGCCAUCCCAAACCCUUGAAGCGUUGUGUCGAGGCGACCCCAAACCCUAGAGAAGCAGCGUCGAGGCCACUAACAUGAUUCCUUAUUGUGAUUAGCUAGCUAGUUCUACGUUUGCCACUAAUAUAUAUAUAUAUAUAUAUAUAUAUAUCCAUCUGUACCAUGUUUGAAUAAUAAUUGACAUGUUGUAAAUAUUUGCAGAAACUAUGGAGCACUCCCGAGACGAAGAAACAGAAGCGAUGUUGGGGGACAUAAUCGCAAAUGGAAGUGAUGAUGUUGCGUCAUUUCUCCUCGACAGCGAUGGUCAGAUGGAUGAAGAAGAGGGCUGUGUUUAUGAUGGCUUUGACCCAUUAAUGCCGGUACAAGAGGAGGACUAUGUUCAUGAUUGCUCCGGUGACACAAUGGAGGUACAAGACGAAGGAGACCAUGCUGACUGCUCCGGUCACCGAACCGAGUCCGGCCAGGUAUAUAUAUAUAUAUUAGUUAAGCCCGUGCUGACUAGUUAAUUGAUGCAUCCAUUGUUUUGGUAUAUGUACACAUAUUAAUUACCGUCGUCUUUCUUCCUUAUAAUUUCUAGCCCUCCGGAUCGAGCACAACUUCGGUAAGGAGACGAGGCCCGAAGAAAAAGUUGAGCUCGGAUGAAAAGUUUGAGAUCAUAGAAAUGGCGCCCGACGGCGAACCGAUUGAACCCAUCCGGACAAGGAAGGCAUUUUCUGCUCAGUGCGGGGUUCUUGUUAGGGACAAGAUCCCGAUCAGCAUCCAGCAAUGGUAUAAGCCUGCUAAGGAUGAAGACACUGAGGUGUCUUAUGUCAAUGAUAUGCAGAAAGAAGAUCUUUCGACUGAGCUGAAGGCAAAUUUCACCCUACCGCCAGAGGAGGAUCCGGAGAAGCCAGUUAAAGAGCAAUUAAUCAAGUCUUGUGCUCUUAAGAAGAUGGCAGGCCUAAUGAGGAGGUGGAGGAAAGAGCUGAACCAGUUUGUUGAGAAAAAAAAGACACCAGAAUUCAUCGGCAAAUAUGAGAAGAUCAAAGAUCACCGGCCCGCAUUUGUGGCCCACAAGACAUCGGAAAAGAGUAAGAAGAUGUCGGAGACAAACAAGAAAAAUGCUGCGAAGAAGAAGCUUCACCAUCGCACGGGGUCAGGUGGCUACCUCAAAGCCCGGCCUAAAUGGUCCAAGGAUGAGCAUGAUCUGCUUGAAAAAGGGAUCGAACCAGAGACAAUGCGCUGGCCAGACCAUUGCCGGAGUUGGUUCUUCGGUGCUGGCGAAACCUUGGACCCUGUAACAGGGAAGUGUCAGUGGACGGACGAGCAACUGCAAACACCAGUCAAGAACCUUCGACACUAUAUUGAUGCAGCGCAGUUUAGGCGUUCCUUCCAAACAGGGAGAAGGACGAGGUCACAAUGGCCCUUGGGAAUCCCGAGCACCCUGGACGGACACGAGGCACGCCAGGCUCCAAACAGGAAGGUUGGUUUUCCGGAUGCAGGGGGUUACAAAACCCACGAGAGGAGGAAGAAACUGGAGCAGGACCAAAUGCAGGCGCUGCAUGAAAUGGUAAUGGGGCUAGAGGAACGAGAACAGGUACGAGAAGCAGCAAAUCGCAACAAACGACUUGCCGAAGCUUCCCCCGAAGCUACCCCGCCAUCUCAGCGGAGAAGCAGCGUGGCUUCCACCGAGCUGCUUCAGCCGGAGCAUGUCUUGACGGCUCCUGCCAGCUAUCCCGUGGAUGGUAUCACGGAGUCUCAAAAUUGCCACAUUAUGGCGCGAUGGAUGAAUUUGAAGGUCAAGGCGGCUGUUGGCCAAGUUUAUCCUAGUGGACCCGGCACAACUUAUCACUGCCAGCCGAUUCCAGAAGGAUUUGCUAAGGUGAUGGUGGAUGAAAUAACGGAGGGAUUUGAGGACCUCGUGCUUGAGCACCCUACCGGUGAAGGGGAGACUAGGCUGGGUUCUGCUCUGAAGACUCCAUGCCUAUGGCAGAAGGAGCUCAUCAACCUUCUGAACUGUACGCCUCCGCCUCCUCCUCCUCCUCCGGCGAGCUAGGGCACUCCGCCUCCUCCACCGCCUCCUCCUCUGGCGAGUGACGAUCAGGGCACGUGUGGCGGCACUCCGCCUCCUCCACCGCCUCCUCCUCCGGCGAGUGACGAUCAGGGCACGCGUGGCGGCACUCCGCCUCCUUCUUCGGCGCGUGGCAGCACUCCGCCUCCUCCUUCUCCGCCUCGCCAGCAAGGGCGUAAGAGACCCGCCGCCGCCCCGGCUGCUCCGGCACGUCGUAGUCCUUCUCCUCCGCCUCGUAAGCAAGCACGAAAGAAGACAGACGCCGCAGCCGCUCCCUCUGCUUCGGCAAUACAGACAUGGUCCACCUCUAAAGCCUCUAGAGAAGUUACCGUACGAGAGGACCAAGGAGGAAAACAAUACGAUCGUGCAGGCCCAUGUGAAGGAGUUCUUUGAAGGGGUGAAAGCAAAGAGACAUGCACCUCCGGAGGAGAAGGUAGAUCCGGUGAAAGCAAAGCGCACUCUCGAUGCCCUAAGGAAACCACCAAAGUCUCCGCCGAGAACCAACUAUGAGCGCAUUACUGAACAGACAUAUCUCCAAGCCAAGCGGUCGGGAACUACUGUCAGUGAUAAAAGGUUAAAAGAACAACGAGCAAAGGGGAAAAAAUUGCCCAGCUCGGCGAACAAGCACAACAAUCGUGCCCCCCGCUCAAUGUGUCUAAUCCUCCGGGGACGGUGGCCGGUUAUGGCAAUCUCUAAGAUUACCUGCCUGACGAUGCACUUCCUGAUUUCAUGGAGGUGGACGUAUUCAGAUACGAGUACGGGAAGCCUCUCGUCAAAGAUGAAAAAUCUCUGACAACAAUGAUGCGAAGAUUCCAUAGUUGGUACAUGAAAACCUGCAGAGAGUCUGAGGGGACGAACAGUUUGUAUCUGAACAUUAAAGAGGAGCACGACCUCGUUUCAAAUGAUCUGUUGUGUGUUCCAUUUGAGGAGUUCUUCGAGUUCUUCAAUCAAAAGGCCCUCGAUAAAUUAAUGGUCUUUUGCUACUGCCUGUAAGUACUAUUUCUGUCAUUAAGUCUCUAUGUAUAGCUCGGCUCUUUCAUUGCAUGUAGUUAUAAUUAAUUAUCCUCAAUAUAUUAUGCAGAUUGAAGAUCGUCGAGUGCAAAAAAAAUGAAAUCUAUGAUAUUGGGUUCAUUAACACAAAUAUCAUAGAUGUAUUUCUGGUUAAAAGCGCGUCGAAGAGGCCGAGGACAACUUGCUACAAUCGUUGAUCAAAAAACAAAACAAAGAUACCAUACUCUUUCCUUACAACGACCCGUGAGUGUUACUGUCGUGUGCAUAUUCGGUUUCCCUUAUUACUCGAGCGAGGUUAUAGUAAUGUAAUUGAUGAGUUAUGCAUGCGUGCGCAGGUACCACUAUAUUCUUCUGGAGCGUGGACUAGUAACCGUCUUAGACUCGAGACGGAAAGAUCCCGAAAACUAUGCAGACAUCACUGAAAUGCUCACCGCACAAUAUCGAUCAUUAUCGCACCAUAUCGGCAACUUUUUGUUCAUUUCCUGAUAUCUCAAGUAAUAAUAAUUAUUUUAUUUGUCUUGCAGGGUUUGGAAACAGUUCACCGCACAAGCUCCGGGACUGCCGAAGGAGCUGCGGUAUACAUACCCGAAAGUAAGUACUACUGGCUAGCUAGUUGCGCAUCUCCCGUUGAUUCUAUAGCUAUACUUUCAUCAAUGCCAUUUAUAAUGCUUCAUUAUCAGUUUGAUUGACCUCUAUUUCUCGUAAAGUGCUUGUGGCAGGAGGAAGGGAAUGAUUUCUGUGGAUACUACGUGUGCGAGUUCAUCCACAACGUGACUUUGAAAAACAAGCGGGGCUACUCUAGAAGACAAUAUGAAGUGCGUAAGCAAUAAUAUUCAUAAUUUCAUUUUAUUACACUAUCAUUUCUGUUGAGUUUCAUUCAUAUAUAUGUAUUAAUUAACCCCCUUCUUCAAAUUAGACGUGGCAGAUGCGGGAUGAACUCCUAGAACCAGAUCGCAUGAAAGCAAUUCAAGAGAAAUUGGCGGGAUUCUUUCUUGAACACGUCAUCAGUAAAGCCGGAGAAUACCAUGUGGAACUUGAUUUCAAAUGCUAGGGGUUUGUAAUUAAGAGAUCUUAUACAUGUAUGUAGCCAGUAAAAAACUUGUUGUUCGACCAAUCUCUUAGAGAAGGAGAGGUCGAUCGAUCUUCUCUCGGUAUGCAUGACGAACUUCUGUACUGAAUGGUUCUCUCGAUCACUUAUGUAUAUAUACUACGUAGCGUCGACCAAGCACGGACAUAAGAGAGGACACUUCUCUCUAUUAAUUAGCUAGCUAACACAAUAUACGAAACACCUAAAUUAACCCCCCAAAACCCCCAACCCCCCUCCUUUCAAAAAAAAAACCCAGCCACUGGAAUGCAGACGCGUGGAUGCCUUUUGGUCCUGGUUGGAGCCACCAACCGGUACCAAAGGCCCCCUGGCUGGACUCGGCGAACCGGACCACGUGGAGGCACAUUGGUCCCGGUUCGUGUUUGAACCGGGACUAAUGGGUGGAGGUAUUAGUAACGACCCGUUAGUCCCGGUUCGUGAACCGGGACUAAAGACCCUUACAAACCGGGUCUAAUGGGUGGUUUUCUACUAGUGUCAGGAACUACAUAAUUUGUUUGAGAUGACAACCAGUACCAAUGACACAAAGACGUGCUGGUGCCAGAGCAGCUCAUCGCAUAUAUGCGCUUAAGAAAUUUGGAUUUAGACCUGGCAUGCUGGAAGAUAGUAAGAACAUGCUUGGUUCCUUGCGAGGUGGGUUGAAUAAUGAAGAACCUACAAUGGUUGAGUCACUCUUCCGUAGCUAGGUGGUUAGACAUGUCUUGAGCAAAGAGUCUGAGCACACAUAGUUACCACUACGAGUACCUUGAUUUCAAUUUGGCAAUACCACCAAAGAAACCUUCAUCAGCCAAGUACUGCUUGGAUUUAGAUUCCACUGGAGUGAUCGAGGAUUUCCACUGUAUGGACUGUUCAGCAGCCGCUGGAAAUGCAAUGCCGUCUCGAGAAAUUUGGGUCCCCGGUGUGAAAUGCAAAAUGUGGCCUUAAAUUUUAUUUAUUUAACCGAAAGAGGUACUAUCUUCAAAGAAUUUGAUGAGUGACAUCUGAAGGAACUAGACUGUCGAUUUCACAAUGAUGAGAUAGAAGAUUAAUAUAAUUGUCCAUUCCUUUGAGACCAUCCAGCAAAAGUUUCAUUAUUCAAUAUAGUGAUCGCCAAGAUGUACUGCAAUAUGGUGUUUCCUAAGAUGAACGUAUAUACUUCAGAAGAAUAAAAAAAUAGUCUAAAUUAGAUAGGGGCUUGACUUACACGCAUCUACUACUCAACGGAUCAAUGCACGUGCUAGUUAAGGGCAUCUCCAAAGCUAACCCACAAAUGUCUCCGGUCUAUAUCCGUUUUUAUGUUAGGACGUGAUCCACGGACAUGAUGCGUGAGGGGGCCAUCCAAUGAUAAUCAGAAAGUAUCGGUCGGGAGGAGAAAAAGUAGGUGAAGACCAUGCAUAUGGUGGGAUAUUUGUGAUGUAGUGUGCAGUUGAGAGGAGAGGGAUGAGAGGAGGGCCAUGAAUGUGUGGUUGGGAGGAGAGAGAGAAGAGGGGAUCAUGCAUGUGAUUGGGCAAGUGCAUGUCUGGACUCGGACAAAGCCCCAGGUUUGUCCCUUGGAUACCAGAAUCAGUACGACCGAACUGCUAAACGGACAUAUAAAGGUCAUAGUUGGAUAACAAAAAUCGUGGGGACAUAUAGUGAAGGUUUGAGGAUCCGCUUUGAAGAUGUCCUAAUCAUAGUUAUGGUAAUAAGACUUCUAGUACGGAAGGAUGAGCCUCUGGGCUGUCUAGUCUCUAAACUUGUGAACAAUGCAAUUUCUUUCUAAGUCAAUGAAGCUAACCAUGAUAAUCUUUCUAAAAGAACACAUCAAUAUUUAUCAAUAUGAUUCUAAGAUAGUACUAUAAUACAAAAGCCCUAAUAGUAUAUGAAACUUGGGCCACGUCACCAUGUGCACAGAUAUGCAGCAUCUCGGUGGAUAUACCUUUUUCUUUUUGCUGCAUGAGGCAUGGCACGACUUGACACUUAGAGAGUUGACUGCACGAGCUUCAACGUUAAAAAAGUUUAUCCCGAACUCGAUCAACCAGUAGCAACAUUAUUGGUGCAGACUGUAGACCGACGUAUUACUUCAUGCCUAGCGGCAGGGCGACACUUAGCGACGUAUUGCUGUGACCGACCGGGCAAGUCAGCAUCGAGGAACCACGUACUAGUAUUUUUUGUCCCACUUGUUCACUUGGCCGGCUGUUCUACCUAGCCCCUAUCGGUGUCUACGGUUUAAUUGUCACUUUGCUCAGUAUUGUUCUUGUUGUGUAUCGUGAUUAUUAGGAACUAGUCAUCAACCCGUGCAUCUGCACGGGCUAGAAGUAAACAUAGUUAUACUUCGUAGAAGUUCAGUAUAACAUUUUUCUUGCAUUUUUGCAUUCUUGGGUGACUGGAAAAUAUGAAUAGAAAAGUAAGCGUUCUGCAAAUUCUUAAUAUCAGGUAAUAGUUUUCAAUUUUUCAUCCUAUAUAGCAAAUAUGAAUAAUAUUCCAUCAAUCCUUCAUAAUUAGGUGAUAACUUGCAUGCAACCAAUUUGAAGUAUGUUGUGUCCGUUUAAGUGCCACGUGAUCAAGGUAAACCACCAACAACUAAUUAUCUUAUAUAUAUGGUAAAUGCUUUAACCAUCAAGUAAUUUUCAAAACUGUUCUCUAGUUUUAACCAACAGAGCACGAUCGGAUGAAGAAUCAACCAUAUACAUAUUUUCAGAAGUACCUUGCUUACAAAAGAGAACUAUUACUACAAUAACAAUAAGUCAGCAUCUCCAACAAAAAUGUUCAGCAUUGCAUUAUUGACAUUAAAACAUACAUCCAAGGAUCAUUAUUAAAUUCAUUUAACAAUGGACACUACAUAUAAAAGAUUGUAUUGCAUAACUACAGUGUCCCUUUUUUUGCGGGGUUGCAAUGUCAGAUUAACUAAAUAUAAGAAAUCUGUAAUCUAGAAGCAAUAUAAAUCAACAUUAUAUCUGAAGCUUUGACAUGUAGUACUUCUCCCCCUUUUCCCAGGUACAGAUGACACGAAAACUCAUCUGUUCCCAAGUAUAUUCAAAGGAAACAAUUAUACAUCUUAAUAAAUAAGAACACAUGAACUGCGGGUGAUAGAUUAUAGUAUCUUUAGAUAUGUACAUAGUUCAGGUAUUCUUAUAGCUCAAGCACUUCACGUACCUCACAUGACUGAAAAAGCCUGUCGCCCCGCUUUAUAUACAAAGCACCACACCAAACAACAUUUAGUUUGACCUAAAAGAAAUGUGGGUUGACCUAAAAGAGACAGAAAAACAACAACAUGUAGAUUGUAGAACAUACACUAAUGUUUCUAAUACAAAAGAAUAAUCAUAUUGGUCAGUUACAUAAUAGCCUACACAUCCGUGUUUUGAUGCACAAUUUUUUUGGUUUCGCUGGGAAAAAUAGAAUCAAGAAAUAGUUGUUCCAUGAUGAAAAAAGGAUUAAGCACAGGAUUUCCAAUUGAUGUUUCUGGUGAAACUUAACAAUAUCUAAAACUUAAGUCCUGAAUGUGCGAUUCAGUUGGUCGAAUUUUAUAUGGUAGUUAGUUAUCCUUUUUGCUGAAGCUGAACAAAAGUUCUAGGAAUGAACUAAUAUACUAACGGAGAUUCCAUAUCAAGUACACAGGUCAUGGAAAAUUUUAUUCUGUACUUUUGUUUGUAUAGGCCAGUCUAUUUCUCCACCAUUUGGAAUGUAAAAUCCAUUUGACAUCGCCUUGUAAGAUCUCCUUGCUACAUCAUGUAAUCUAGUCGCAUAAUUUGUUUGUUUAAAAAAAUUUGACCAUUGGAUGAACAUUAUAGUAUAUUUGCUUGACAUGCCGCACACAUCAGUGCAUAAAACUUACUUCAACUCUUGUUCGCUUCCUGUUGUUUGUAUGAUGAGAAAGCAAGAAGCCCCAAAAGCAACAGAAUUCUGUUCUAAUAUGUCAUGAUGAGCAUUAGAAAGCAUCCGGGAAGAAAUUGCAGGUGCAUGCUGCAAAUAAAUUAGAACAUAUCCAUAUCAUGCAUGUUCUUACAUAUUGUAGAUAUCUAUCCAUGCAGUUAGCAAUUUAUACAUGGGAAUAUGGGAAGACAAAUGAAUAUCUUCACAGGACAUUGAGAAAAGAAAAAUUGUACGCUGAAAUUUUGCAUGGCUACUUAGUAAGCACGUCCGGUGUACCACCCAGCUUCUGAUCCAUUGGGCUCCCCUGGCCGACGGCAGCGUGCAGAUCGACUCGUCGUUCUGCUAUCGGACAUUUGUUGAUGAUCAUUUUCACAAAGUUUUAGAUUUUUUGUAAAAUGUUUUGUUAUGUUUUCUUGCGUGGUGCACCAAGGAGGGGUUCAGCCACUACUUUCCCAUCGGACAAAAAAAUCAGCUGAGUUGAUCAAGAAAAUCAAUCAGGUGUGGUUGUAGUACAUGCAUAUGUUUACCUACCACAGUUAGAAUAAAGGGAGAGAUAGAGUGGAUUGCAAAAAGAAAAAGGAGAGAUAGAGUGCUUAAGACAUCUUGGACUCUCCAACACGUAUACAAAUAGAACACCUUUUUCUAUCAUCAUAUAUUAACCGCAAGAUUAUGAACUAAUGACUAAUAUUAGCAGUUUUCUAGGAUUAACAUUGCUGGCCAACUACCAAUACAUAGCUAUUCUAUUGCUCUACCCAUAUAACCUGCCCUACGCUAGUUUUCACUCUCUCUAGAAAAGGAAACAUUUAACCAAAUAAACAGUUUUGCAUAAAUAUUAAAAUUACAUAGAGUACUCUGUUUGAAGUAAAAAUAAUCCAUAUAGUGUGUGUAGAUAGAUUGCCUUAGCAGUAGGAAAAAUGAUAUAUUUUUCAGUAGAUAGAAGGGUGGAUCUGUGAGAUGGAUAAAGGUAUAACGUACAAAAACUGUCAUUCAGAUGUGCCGAACUGUGCUUUGUAUGUCUUGCCAUUUGUUCAUUCAUAGGAAAGGCAAUUAAGCCCCCGGCAGGGUGUAGAAGAAACAUGUAAAAGAGAUCCUCAAUGUCAAUUUUUGCAAACAGCAAUGCCGAUAUAUACACGUGGAAAUAUAUUGCCUCACCCAUAGGUGUUUCAUGAGAGCAAAGAGCACGGGGAAGCAUCACAAAAUACGUAAGUAAUUUGGUAUUUGUACCGGAAACAAAAUAAUUUGGCAUGGCGCACAGCUGAACAUAUCAUCUUCAGUACAUUUUGUUCUGCUUUAAUUAGAUCUGACAAAAACUGUGGAUAGCCUAUAUGAUAGCAUAACUAAAAAUAUACAAAUAUCCUAAAAGGUUCCUAGUAUAACUCAUCAAGUGACUUAUCUAUAAAGAUUGGAACUCGAUCACAUAUAUACUUAAGCUCCUGGAGGAAAUAACUGAAAAUAUUAGUGUAUUUUCUUCUAUGGGCUCUAUUCUAAAAGCAUGAUAUAAGUAUGUUAGGUAAAACAUGAGAAAGUGGAACAGAUCAUAGAGUAACACAAUAAACAUUAGCAGUACCACCUAUUCCUGAUUGUCCUCAAUGUCUAAUACGACUAUUUUCUGUUGAAGCCAUAACAUCAAUGGAAGAACUGAAAUCUGAAAAUUGUGAGCAUAACAUGAACGAUUUGAGCAGGGUAUUAUAGGAAAAUUAGAAGAGUAAAUAUAUUGUCUGGCAGAUAAUUAAGGACACAUAGCUACGUCACUGAUAUCAUGCUUUUAGAAUUGAGCCCGUCAUGGCUAGUCUACUGCAGUUCAUUCCUUAGCAAUGUCACUGAUGGCAGCAGGCACCCAAUAUAAAUCGAACAGCCAUCGGUACACCUCCUCCAUUGCAUCUACCAUCAUGGAUAAAUUCAUCAACUGAAGACGCUAGAUUGAUGCGUGGCCAAAACUUGGAGGGUGGAGAGAUACAAAGUAUGUAGAGCAACGGGAUCAAUCUAACAUGUGCAAACACUGUUGCAGGGAUUGUGUGCUGCUGCAGGAGGAGAUGCAGACCACCCCUGGUGGUCGUCCUCAUUCCUUACAGUGCUCUAGAUGGGCAUCUACAGGUUCAAUGUUUUUAAUCAUGUGUUUUGGAUAAAUAAGAUUUAUUGGGAGUUCGUGAUUAUAACGGGAGGUAGAGUACAUCAGAGAUUUAAAGAUAAUGGAGUACUUGCCUGCAGUGUACGGAUAGGAGUGACCGGGGACAAACUCUAAUAAUGUAGGGUGGCGCCAUCUCUCUGCUCAUAGUUCCUCUACUUGAUCUGAAGCUUCACCAACAAUGGUGGAUGUCCGAUCUGAUUCCAACUUGUUUGAUGUGCCUCCUUCUGCAUUACAUCUUCCAAGUUUAAUUGGAGUUUGCUUAGGUCUUGAAGUUGAGGGGAUUGAACGCCUUCUCCUCAGCCAACAUGGAUUGCAUCUUCGUUGGGGUGUUGGGGUAGUGACGGUCCAACAUGGAUGAAGAUUGCAAAGAGAUUGGUUGGAACACUUUAGAUGAUGGUUGCUAACCGGAUAAGGAGGAGCAGCGCUAGGGCUCUGUUUCUCUCGCCGGCAGGAUUGGCGAAGGAAGAAGUUCGCAAAGAUAUUUUCUUUCUCCUAAAAGAAUUUCACGUGAGACAACAACCUAGUUUUUCUUUUCUAAAAGAGCUAUACGUGGGACAUCAGCCUAGGACUCCUAAUUGCACGUGGGAUAGCAGCCAAUUUUCCCCCUAAAAGUGCUAUACGUGGGACAUUAAUUAGCCUAGGACUCCUAAGUUACCUCAUCCUUUUUUUCCUUAAAAGUGAUAUACGUGGGAUAUUAGCCUAGGACUCCUAAGUUACCUCAUCCAACGGCUCUAGAUGAUUAACAUAGAGAUCAUACGGACAAUUUUUUUAGUUUUGAGGAUUAACAUGGAGCCUCGUAUGGUGCCUCCGAUAUAUAUAUAUAUAUAUAUAUAUAUAUAUAUAUAUAUAUAUAUAUAUAUAUAUAUAUAUAUAUAGAGGCUCAAGCAAUACGACAACUAUUCCACCAAUUCUCUCUCUUCCUUCUAACAUGGGAUCAGCCUAAUCUCAAUCCAAACACUAGCCGCCGCUUCCGCUACGUGCCGCCUCCGGGGCUGUCGGUCUCCAUGCAACCGGGGGCUGCGGGACCCGUACCUAGGGUUCGUCCACUGAUCGUGUUUGAUCGGCUGUUCUAGAAUCUUUUUUUCCUGAUCCUUUGAUUCGGAUUUUUCUCUCUUCGCCAUUGCAUUGAUCGGUGUUAUUUUUUGGUUUUCCGAUCGACAGAUCAGUUUGCGUCGCCCACUGCCCAGUCGAUUUUGUGCGCAGCUACUCCAACUUUGACGGCGACUACAUGUCCAGGCGUGGAUUGUAGGCCGCCUUCCAGCGUGAUUUGCUGCUUGGUGAUCUACAUCUAACGAUUGUAUAGGGUGGCUUGUACGUCCAAUGCAUGCAGAGCUUUGCUGCUUGUACCUGCUGCAAAUUUCAUCAUGGCGUAUAAGCGCACAACCAUCGAUCGAGCAACAGGCUGCUGCUGUGUCGCCCGUCAGGCCGCAGCGCCGCUGCCCUGUGGUUCUUCCUGUGGCUGCACCGAUCCGCGCCGCCGAUGCGUUGCUCCUUCGGGCCGUAGCACCGCAGCACGUGGUACCCGCCGUCUCCCUGAGGCCGUUCAUAUGGUUGCACCAGCCCGCACGCUGCCGCUGCGUCGCUCCUUCUGGAUGUAGUGCCGCGGCCCGCGGUCAACCGUCACCCUGAGGCCUUCUGCUCCAGGCUGUCCCCGAGGCUGCACCGACCCUCGCGUUGCCGCUGUGUUGCCCCGUCGGGCCGUAGCGAGCGUGGCACGCGGUCUCUGCAACCGGCCUGAGGUCUUCCUCGCCGUCGCCCCGACCCACGCGCUGCCGCUGCAUCACCCAUUCGGGCCGUAGCGUCGCGGCGCGCGGUCCAUACGGCCGUCCCCACGCGUCGACCUCGAUGUGGUAUGAGUCGCGACGCCUCCCUAGGCGCGGGAACGCCACCGUCCGCUCCGGUCCUCGUCAUGCUGUCGAGUUCUUCCUCGCCUACUUCGAGCACUGUCACUUUGCUUCUGACCUAGCCGCCGCCGCCGCCACCGCCUCGUCAGGUCGCUGCCGCCGCUCUUCUUCCCGGUCCACGACGACUACCUCGACACCGGCUACUCCGACUCGACAUCGACCAUGGCAUCCCUCACACGGCUACCUCAACAACGGCUACACCACCCUACGCUCUCGGCUACAUCGACAUCGGCACAAAGGGCUAUCGCCUUACUUGACAAACCUCGUCGGUUUUCACUCUAGCCACGACGUUCGCGAUGCGUUGACCGUUACGACCGUGGGGGUUGUCCGUCGUCUUACAUUCGGAUUUUUCUCCAGUCUCACCGUCUGCAUCGCUACUGUUGUGACUGCGGGGGUAUGUCGAGUAUCGUGAUUAUUAGGAGAGCUAGGAUAGCAUCGGAUAUUAUUCUACCUUGCCUUGUACUCCAAAAUGACCAUGUACACCUAUAUAUACGCCCACGAGGCUCAAGCAAUACAACAACUAUUCCAUCAAUCCUCUCUCUCCCUUCCGACAGUUCUCAAUACACACCAACUACAACGUAGAUGCAUAGUAACUGUACAUAGUCCGGCCAUCACUUUUGCCAGGUUCAAAUUCCAAAGCGCCACGGUGAAGGAUUUGCAUUAGCCUUCUUAUACCGAGAAGCGAUGGAACUCCACGGUCCAAUUAUAAACCAGUAGCCAACCAGUAGAAGUUGUUUCAUCUCCGCAUACACUGAACGAAAGGCUAAAGCCAUGUUGGUACGAUGGGGUACGCCCUCCCUUCGGGCAUGCACGAUCGGUCAACUCUUACGAGGCCAUUAGAAAUAAAAUACUACCCCCUCCAAUCCAAAAUAAAUGUCACAGUUUUGAACUAGUGCCACGCUUAUUUAAGAUAGGAGGGAGUAGCAAAUAAUGAUGCUCCACAUAUAAUGCAAGUCAACUAUCAUGUAGCUUUCCAUACACUUGUGUUUGUGUGGGGAAUAGAUUUUUUAUCACCGGAUAACCUAUCUGAUUAUCCACACUUGUCAUGAUCGAUACACUAAUUUGAUUUGCCAAUGCUAAAUCCUUUCUCAAUUUUAGUGUUUUUGAUGGGUUGUAUCCCCCAACUGGCGUAUUUUAAAUUACACCGCCCGGUUGUUGACCAAUCACACCGUAUUAUAGAGACCUUGAAAGCCCGGCCCCCGUGUUGGCGGUCAUCGUUUGUGGUUCCUCCUGGCUCUUUCACUUCGUACAACCAAUCGUCGUUGUUAUAUAAUAUAGCUUAUUGGAAAUCCGCUUUCCGUGAUGGAAAUUCCAACCAUUCAUCAACCUUGGAUGAGAACUUGUACUUGUACUUGCGCUUGUUCUCACCCGCAAUUUGCCUAUCCGUUUUCAUUGAGUACUUUAGAAAGUACACAUUCAUCUUGUCACAGUUUUGAACUAGUGCCACACUUAUUUAGGAUCAGAGGGAGUAGCAAAUAAUGAUGCUCCACAUAUAAUGCAGGUCAACUAUCAUGUAGCUUUCCAUAUACUUGUGUUUGUGUGGGAAAUAGGAUUUUAAUCACCGGAUAACCUAUCCGAUUAUCCACAAUUGUCAUGAUUGAUACACUUAUUUGAUUUGCCAAUGCUAAUUCAUUUCUCAAUUUUAGUGUUUUCGAUGGGUUGUAUCCCCCAACCGGCGUAUUUUUAAAUUACACCGCCCGGUUGUUGACCAAUCACACCGUGUUAUAGAGUCCUUGAAAGCUCGGCCCCCGUGUUGACGGUCAACGUUUGUGCUUCCUCCUGACUCUUUCACUUCGUACAACCAAUCGUCGUUGUUAUAUAAUAUAGAUUCCUGGAAAUCCGCCUUCCGUGAUUAAAAUUCCAACCAUUCGUCAACCUUGGGUGAGAACUUGUACGUGUACUUGCGCUUGUUCUCACCCGCAAUCUGCAUAUCGUUUUCAUUGAGUACUUUAGAAAGUACACACUCAUCUUGUCAUAGUUUUGAACUAGUGCCACACUUAUUUAGGAUCAGAGGGAGUAGCAAAUAAUGAUGCUCCACAUAUAACGCAAGUCAACUAUCAUGUAGCUUUCUAUACACUUGUGUUUGUGUGGGGAAUAGAAUUUUAAUCACCGGAUAACCUAUCCGAUUAUCCACAAUUGUCAUGAUCAAUACACUUAUUUGAUUUGCCAAUGCUAAUUCCUUUCUCAAUUUUAGUGUUUUCGAUGGUUUGUAUCCCCCUGCCGGCCUAUUUUUAAAUUACAUCGAUUGUUGGCCAAUAACUGGUUGCCAUUUCCAAAGGGAAGUGGACCAGGUGAACGAAUUGUUCUCCAUGGGGGGUUCUGUCCAGCAAAAAAUUUCCUUCGCUAGAAAACCACCUCGAGGGCGAACCAGGCCCUAGACAAUUGAGCCCAUGAAUUGUACAAAAAAGCCACAACAGGUAAAUUUCGUGUUAAAUUGUACAACAAAAGCACAUGAAUUUGGCAUGGUACAAUUAAAGACACACACACAAAUAUCAAUGUAUUUUAAGUUACGAAAAAUUGCAUAAUUUAGACAUCAGAAAAAAAAGUAUGUGUGUGAAUACAAAAAACCGAGAAUAGAAAUGCCAUGGCAUGGCAAUUUGUUGGAAAUUUUUGUUGAUCACAUGGCAACUUGUUGGAAAAAGAAUAACUUAUCACAAGGGUAAAAAAUUGUAAUAAUUAUAUUUGGAAAACAAUUAUCUACAAAGUUUGGCAUGGGGACAUAUAAAAAAGUUCCUAGAAAUUGACAUAUUAAUAGACUAGUUGGAUAAAGUAUAACAAAAAUGUAUCAAUUAAACCUAUAAAAUCAAUCUCAAGUAUAUAUGUAAAAUUAUUACAAAAUUUUGGCAUCACCUUUGCUAAAAAGGGACAUGUUAAGUGCCAGAAAUUGGACUAAAUGUAAAUGAAUAAACAUUUCUUCAAAACAUUGACAAAUCCAGAUUACCAUGCAAAAAAGAAACAUAUAUAGCGCGAAACAACUGAUGAGCAACACAAUGCAAUGUUGCCUCAGCAAUUCGUGGGCAAUACAUACACAUAUAAUGGGAGCAGCCAUAUCAUCAUAUGUUGGGCCCAUCUGCAAGAAACAUUCACUUGUCAAAAGGAGGUACCGAUAACUAGUGACAAAUCAUCGUCACCAAAAACGAUCUUGGGUUAAAAAUCAGUCAAUCCCAGGUGACAAUUUUGGCUCUUGCUGAAAAACGACUUCCAUGAAAAAGUUGAUAUGUCACCUAAGAUACGAAGUUAGGUGGCGAGAAACUGGAACUAUCAAGAUUUAUGUUUUGUGACAGCGCUUAGUGACAGUGCGGCACACAUUCAAUGAUGAAAAUCAAUUUUGCAUGACACGGGUAAAUUGUCACUAAAAACCUUCUGUUUUGUAGUGAUUUAUGGGGAUAAUAUGGAACAAAUGAGCUCCAACAUUGCAUAUACAAUCGAUCUGUCAACCUCCCAAAGCUUAAACCAUGCUUGUCCUCGAGUAAGAAAGUUGACUACCUACUAUCAUUGUUCCUAACUUUAAAGCUUACAAUGAAAACAAAAGUCAGUGGAUCUAGAUCUUUUGGGCAAGCUUUGCAAAAGUUAGCUAGCAUGGGAGUAAUACCUCUAAUGCUCUUUGAUCCAUUUCCGCGGAAGUCACAAAGGACGAAAUAUUUUUGUGGUGUCCAAAUUCCAUUGCCAAAGGGUUAGAGAGAAUGUCAAAAUUAUGAUAGGAAGGAUCCAAUGUCUAUCAAUGACAACAUAAACUAUGAAUUAACGAUUACUUCGAAAAGACAACCCAAGGUAUACCAGGUAAAAUACCAAGAUCGACUGCCUGUUUUAGUCAACCGCUCAACUACCUGUGUGUAGAGCUGAGUGAUUACUUUCUUUGGUGAUCCGGAAAUGGACCGGGAAGGAUUCUCGCAUUUUCCCCCCAUAGGAGACUCUGAGUUACUGAACUCAUGGGAGGAUGAUGCCCUCUAAGCUAGGGUCUCUAACGAGCUUUUACUAAAGUACUCCCUCUGUUCCACACUAGUUGUCAUUGGGGCGAGUCUAAUUCGUGCGAGAUAGUUGGGAUUCCUUGUUUGGAGGUCCCCAGUUCCUCUAAAAGAUCUAGAUGGAUUCAAUUAAAUGAGAAAUUAUGGCGGCCCACCCCCUGAAAUUUAGGGGUGUAUUAGGUUCCCUUUUUUUUAAGAAAAUAACAUUGCGUGAAAUUUAAUGAGAUGUCGGGCCUACCUGUUGAGUUCAGGGAGGGGGCGAUUAUGGAAAUACAUGUUGAGGCCCACUGGUUGAAUUCACGGGAAGGGAAGGAAUUAUGGGAUCGAUCUGUACUUCCCUUUUUUUACAGCUAGCGGGGAUAGCUCUGGAGGGAUCGCGUGCUGCAACACGCGGUCAUGAAAGAGUGAUUUCGUUGUUAUUUAUAUGGAAUUAGAAGAACGCUCGUGCGUUGCAACGAGGCCACAUUAACUUUAAGAAUUCAAUAUUACGACAUUGGCGGCCUUUUUUACCAUCAAAUCCUCACACACACACUCUCCCUCCUUCUUCCUCACUCUCUCUCCCCCUCUCCCUCUCUCUAACAGACACAUAUCCAUCUUAUUGGGUACGGGACCAUAAUCCAUCUAUUUCACACACACACGCUAGUGCAUAACAAUAUGGAUUAUGUGUAUUAUAUUUGCCACCAGAACUGAGGGAAUUAAUUUCAUGUAAAUCGGCCAGCCCAGCUCCAAGAAUACGCGGAGGAGGUGGCCCGGGUCAUCGUCGAUGCUGUCCGGCGCGGGCCACGGGCCCGCUUCCAAGUGCACGUGCAAUGCACAUCUUCACAAAUAUUAUAACCAGAUGUGAGAAAUCACAUACUAACACGAUGUUGCAAUCAAUUUGUAAUUAAAGAAGCCAAAAGUCUUUUUUCUUAAACCAGAAUUCCUUAUGCCGGAGUUUAAACAAACCCCACAAAAACAUGAUCGAUUUUUUGCUCUACUUAUCACCUAAUUAAGCAAAUGCAUGAAUUAUGAAGCGGAUAAGAAAUCAUGUUAACUUGGAACUAAAAUUCCAACAAAAGAGUGAGGAACAAACCUUUUUAUCAUUGCUCUGAAGUCUGAACCUCCCCCUAUCAUUUUUUUCCACGGUAGGCUAGCACCAAGGGACAAGGACAACAACCGCCUUCCCAUCCAACCUACUAAUUCUGCUGGCGCUACUUUCAUCCUAAGCCCAUGAGUACCGCUAGUGUGUUGCCACGUACGGAGAAACUACGAACUGAAAUUUUCAUCCAAAUCAUGAAAAAUGUUAAUGUUCCUCUCCUCUCCCAUCCCUCGUGUGAACAUACCCAAUUCGUGGUUGGCUCGCUACAUUCAGCAUAGCUCUGAUGUGCACUGCCCUCGCUCUUGAUUAGUUGAUGCAGUGCCACGCAUCUACGCCAACAAGCUGGGGAAACAAAUGCAAAUGUUACACCGAGUCAAAAUCAACCAUCGCACAAUCGUAACAAGAGAAAAGAUAAUAACCAAAAUUUAACAGAAGAACUACUGCUUGGCUCCCAGAUCCAUCUCGAUAGCCCUUGAUCUGGCUGCUGAGCUUCUCCUAGCCGCCUCAACAUCACGUCAUUACCAAACAUGUAGUGGAUGCCUAGUGGGACAAGGAUUAAGAAAUAACAUGAGGUGAAAAAUACGAUGGCUGUCAAUUCCAUAAGACGAUCCAAGUAAUUUGACAAAACGGAUCGGAAGCAUCUUGUAUAAUCUCAAAAAAGCAACUAAAAGUAUGAGAAAUGAAUUGAUGAAAAUAACCCCUGCUCUCAUUCAUGCUCGCUUUUGUAAUGAGGGGCAAGGAAUGGGGAUACCGGGAGAAGAAAGAAUCACAUGGAUGGCAAGCCUCCACCAACGGCAAGUGGGGUUGCUUCACAUCCAAUCUCCACGGCCACCGCCUCCAUGGGGACGAACUCCCAUGUUCACAACCGGGCUCCCAAUCGGCCGCUGCCUCGCCGACCUUGACGACGAAGUGGUCCCUCCCUUCGAUCCCAUUCGCAACGGAGGCAACACCCAUCCUAGCGAACGGGUCCGCGGUGAGAUCCCUACUGGAUUGUGGUCGUGCCUCCCCAAACCUCACCGCGGGACACAUGAGAGGGCGCCAUUGCCAUGGUCAGGCUUGGAUGGGGAAAGGAGGCGACAUAGCAGCAAUGGCGCCUUCGCCGGGAUUGGUGGCGACGGCGGCGGCGAGCGAGCGGGAGGACGGCGGCGGCAAGAGAGUAGGAGGGUGGUGGCGGCAGUCCAUCGGCUGCCAUGACGUGAGAGGAGGAUGGGGAUGGGGCCGCGAUCUGGACGUAUGGAGCGGUCGAGAGGAGGGGAAGCAGGCGGCUGGGUUUUUCCAUCGUGCGGGGUUUGGGGGAGGUCAAACGAGAGGUUUUUUUUCGUGCGGGAGGCAGAGCAACAAGGGCGGAUGUAGGGAGACGGGACGCGGUCGGUUGGCAGGAAAAGGAAAGGUACGCAUUUUUUUAGGCAGUAGAGAUGAUUGAUGAUAAGAAAGGGAAAAUCACAUCAAUAUAAGGAAAUAUCCCAUCAAUACUUGAUUGAUUGCGAUUUAAUUUUUAUAUGGUAACUAAUCUGAUCAUCAAUACUUGAUUGAUUGCGAUUUAUUUUUUAUAUGGUAACUAAUCUGAUGGGUUUAUGUGGGUGGUGAAAUGAAAAGGCAGGUGGGAGGGAGACGAAAUAAAACCAGCGAAAUAAAACCAACGAAAAUGGUGAGGCGAAAUAAAACCAGCAAAAAAUAACCGGUGUACUAUUCACCAACUGCUCCAUUAGGAGUAGAGACUACUUAAUUAGUGACAACUAAUAUAAAACAGAGGGAGUACUGUUGCUUAUUUAGUACAACUUUGUACUAACUGAACGACAACUAAUAUGGAACGAAUCAGUACUUUGUAUGGCCGUACUGUUGAGUACCUUCUAUUCAGAGUUGCUAUGAUGUAUAUACUAUGUGGUAGUUAACUGUAUUGAACAUUCGCAUAUGGUUUGUUUAGAUUAUGAUCCGAUGGUAGUAAUUGCUAAAUUUGACUCGUGUAGCCAAAAUGUUACAUGAUAGAAUUUUGAUCCUGUUUUGCUGCCAUGGCGGUAUAAGGAGGCCUCCGAUUCAUAGUUGGUGCCAUAGAAGGAAAUUAGGUACAAAGUCUUGCCAAACAUAAUAAACGAUUUUUUUAGGCAAGAGUUACCAGCAGCGCACAACAACAACGUCGUAUCACUAGUUCAAUCCACUAGUAGCCAUAUGCCAGUAAAACAACACGCCACUGGUUACGAUAUUAUUGGCAGCGUGUGAGUCACACGCUGCUAUUAGUUUAGUCACUAGUGGCGUGCAACAACAUGAACGCCACUAGGAUGAUACUUAUUAGCGGCAUGCUGGACAAACAAUGUGGAUAUGUUCGUUACUAUAACGUCGUUCUAGUUGCACGCCGCUGGUAAUAACCUACUAGCGGCGUGACACCUGAACGGUGCUAGUAGGCACUUUUGCAUGCUGCUAAUUAGGGCUUCCUGUUUUAGUGUGUAGCGUACUAGUUUUUAUUAGUGUUGGUCGGUCAUAUAAGUGAAUAAAGAUUAGUCUGCAUGAGAUUUAGUGUACAGAGUGGAAACACAGGUAUUAUUGAUCUCGUGACGGACAGGGUAGCCAUUGCGUUGAUUCACAUUUCUUGUGUGCUGUUCAUAUAAUAAAGUACGUAAAAAAUCAUAUUGACGUUGCCCAUCUACUACAUGCUUGACCAUCUGCAUUUAAAGGCCAUGGCUGUUCAGUGUUCACACCAUCUACGGCUAUUAACAAUGGUUGUUCAUGGUAGGGAAUCACAAUCAUUUUGUAGUUUAGCUACUUGUAAGUCACCUGAAAAUAAUAGUUGAACCAGUCGAUUUCUCAUGAAGUAAGAAAACGCUGCAGGGAAAUAAGGAGCAGCAUCAGGGUCACCGAAGAAGCCCUCUAGGUCUAUCCUAUGAUGGUUGCCGCGCUGAGAUUGCCCCGCCACCAACGACGCUCCUCGUUCAUCGGCAGGCAGAGGCGGUCAUACUCCCCCGCUCCCGCGAUGCGUCAGCAAAGCUGCCGCCGGCGACUCCGCCCUCAGUCGCGCAUUACUUGUCUCCGUUUCUAUGUAACGAAAACGUAAACGUGACCUUUCUAAACGUGACCUUUCUAAAUAUGUUCGUUACAACAACGUGCACGGCGAGAUCGCGGGCUGAGCGAGCCGAUCGGGCGUGCGGAUGAGUAGGAGGCGAGGGGAUCGUGCCCCAGCGCCGGCCUGGUAUAAAGCCCGAGUGCAGGUUGUUGUAACGGCUGUGGUCUAGGACAUGAUCGAGUUCGUGCUCGAGGAAAGGAUAAAGCGUAUGUGUGCUGGGAAAAUCCCUGUGUCCACCAUUUUCUGAACUUCUCUAAAUCUCUUCUUCCUCCUCUUGUUGAUCGAGCCAUGGCAAGUCACAGCGAGCAGAGUGAGAGGGAGAGGAGAGCUCCGGCAAGAGGCGGGCGGCUAGCGGCGAGAAGGGUGGCGGCUAGCGACGGCCUGGGAAGGAGAUCGCAAGUGGGGCGGCGGCAGGGAGCCAGCGGCGCGUGGGGGAGGCUACGGUGGCGGCUAGAACUCGGUGACGCGGGCGUAGCUUGUGAAGCGGCGGCGGCUUGGAAGCAACGGCGACGUACUAGGGUAGGAGGGAUCGGACUAAGGCUGAUACCAUGUAGAGAAUUAUGCAGCUCACGAUAUAUUCAUCGGGUGCAAUAUGCACGUAUAUACAGGUACAUAGGAGGGCCACUUCCUCAACUAUACAAGGAAGGAGGAGGGCUUGUUGUACAAGAAAUACACAUGCAAUAUCUAUAUCUCAACAGUGUGUCUUCCAGCACUUGUAGAAAAGGGGGCAAUGGUCGAGGCCAGGUCAGCCCAUUAGUCCCGGUUCAAUCCAGAACCGGGACCCAUGGGGGCAUUGGACCCGGUUCGUGAGCCCCGGGGGACGGCCGGGCCACGUGGGCCGUUGGUCCCGGUUCGUCUGGACCUUUUGGUCCCGGUUGGUGGGACGAACCGGGACCAAUGUGCCUCGCUCCUGGCCCACCACCACUGGUCCUGGUUGGUGGCUUGAACCGGGACCAAAGGCUGCCCUUUAGUCCCGGUUCGUGCCACCAACCGGGACCAAUUAAUUACAUAUAUAUACCCCUCGCUCGCGAGCAGAGAACUCCCACUGCUCUGUUUUUCCUGGCCGGCGAGGAGAGAGCUUUGUGGUGCUCUAGCUCACCUCCUAUGCACACGAGGUGUUCGAUGGAAUGCCCGAGCCACACUACUUAAGCUUUCUCCUCUCCAAGCUCGACCUCCAAGCUCCAUUUUCCUCAAUAUUUGUCUAGGUUUAGCGGUCCGUCACGUCCCGUCCCCGUCUUCACCACCGUUGAUCGCCCGCGCCGAUCUCGUCGCCGGCACCACCAUGGUGAGCCUCUUGUUCUUAUCUUCUUUCUGAAAGGAAAAAAAAUUCUUCCUUGUAUGUUUAUAUAGAUACUUGUAUAAUUUUCUUAAUUUUAUUAUUGCAUCUUAUAUAGUGCGAUGGUUUUGGUAUCCGCCCCCGUCGACCCUCGUCCUGUCUAUGAUUCGGAUGUGGUAUAUAUUAUCUUUUCAUAACUAUAGAUUCAUUUAUUGUUUAUGACAAUUAUGCCGACCAACGUGACAUAGAUUUUAUUUAUCUAGGAGGUUGUUGAAUGGAAAUUCCAACCGACCCUAUUGUUGAUAGGUUAAAUUUAGUUGAAGAAGAAAACAAUUUCUUGAAGGAAAAAAUAAGAAAAAUUGAGGAGGAGAAGAUGAUAUUGGAGUUGCAUGUUGCGGAUGUCGUCGAUGAUCACAAGAUCAAGAUGGAUGCAAUGCGCUUGAAGAUUAGAAAGAUUAGAAAAUAUGGCAUUCAUACCGAGGCUUGGUAUCAUUAUGACGUUGGAUCAGUUGUUACAUUGGUUGCGAUUAUGAUCGCAUUUAUUUUCGCAUUGAAAUGUUUUACAUAGUUUCAAUGUAUGGUUUAAUUAAUUUAGAUGCUCUACAGAGCUUUAUGUUGUUAGAUGAGAACUAUGUAUGUACUUUGGUUUUAAUGUGAUGAUGAACUUCUAUUAAUUUGGUCCCUUAAUUAUCUAUUCAUGAUGUUUUGUAAUGAUUUUUGACACACUUAAUUAUAUAUAAUGCACGCAGAUGAACCGGCAAUGGAUGUACGGUUCAAGACACACCUCCGAGUACAUUAAGGGUGUGCAUGAUUUUCUCGAAGUGGUUGAGGCAAACAAGCAGAAUGGUUUUAUGUGUUGUCCAUGCCCUAUAUGUGGGAAUAUGAAGUCUUACUCUGACCGAAAAAUCCUUCACACCCACCUGCUUUACAAGGGUUUCAUGCCACACUAUAAUGUUUGGACGAGGCAUGGAGAAAUAGGGGUUAUGAUGGAAGACGGCGAAGAAGAAGAGUACGAUGACAACUAUGUGCCCCCUGAAUACGGUGAUGCUACUGAACAUCAAGAGGAACCAGACGAUGUGCAUGAUGAUGCUGCAACGGGCGAAGCUGCUAAAGAUCAAGAGGAACCAGACGAUGUGCCCGAUGAUGAUGAUCUCCGCCGAGUCAUUGUCGAUGCAAGGACGCAAUGCGAAAGUCAAAAGGAGAAGCUGAAGUUCGAUCGCAUGUUACAGGACCACAAAAAAGGGUUGUACCCCAAUUGCGAAGAUGGCAACACAAAGCUCGGUACCGUACUAGAACUACUGCAGUGGAACGCAGAGAAUGUUGUGCCUGACAAAGGAUUUGAGAAGCUAUUGAAAAUAUUGAAGAAGAAGAUUCCAAGGGAUAACAAAUUGCCUAAUAGUACAUACGCAGCAAAUAAGGUUGUAUGCCCUCUAGGAUUGGAGGUGCAGAAGAUACAUGCAUGCCCUAAUGACUGCAUCCUCUACCGCGGUGCGUACAAGGAUCUGAACGCAUGCCCGGUAUGCGGUGCAUUACGGUACAAGAUUAGACGAGAUGAUCCUGGUGAUGUUGACGGCGAGCCCCCCAGGAAGAGGGUUCCUGCGAAGGUGAUGUGGUAUGCUCCUAUAAUACCACGGUUGAAACGUCUGUUCAGAAACAGAGAGCAUGCCAAGUUGAUGCGAUGGUACAGUGAGGACCGUAAGAAAUACGGGAAGUUGAGAGCACCCGCUGACGGGUCGCAGUGGAGAAAAAUCGAGAGAAAGUACUGGGAUGAGUUUGCAAGUGACCCAAUGAACGUAUGGUUUGCUUUAAGCGUGGAUGGCAUUAAUCCUUUCGGGGAGCAGAGCAGCAAUCACAGCACCUGGACCGUGACUCUAUGUAUGUAUAACCUUCCUCCUUGGAUGUGCAUGAAGCAGAAGUUCAUUAUGAUGCCAGUUCUCAUCCAAGGCCCUAAGCAACCCGGCAACGACAUUGAUGUGUACCUAAGGCCAUUAGUUGAAGAAAUUUUACUACUGUGGAAUGGAAACUGUGUACGUACGUGGGAUGAGCACAAACAGGAGGAAUUUGACCUAAAGGCGUUGUUGUUCGUGACCAUCAACGAACAAGGGAUACCACGCAUGCACGCACUGUUUACUUGACACCGAUAGUAUAUACCUGGGAAGCUGCAGGAAGAAUGUGUACCUGGGCCAUCGUCGAUUUCUUCCGACCAACCAUCAAUGUCGAAAGAAAGGCAAGCAUUUCAAAGGCGAGGCAGAUCACCGAAAGAAGCCCGCCAUGCGUACCGGUGAUCACGUACUUGCUAUGGUCAAUGAUUUACACAUAAUCUUUGGAAAGGGUCCCGGCGGACUAGCUGUUCCGAGUGACGCUGGGGGACACACGCCCAUGUGGAAGAAGAAAUCUAUAUUUUGGGACCUACCCUUCUAGAAGGACCUAGAGGUCCGCUCUUCGAUCGACGUGAUGCACGUGACGAAAAACCUUUGCGUGAACCUGCUAGGCUUCUUGGACGUGUAUGGGAAGACAAAAGAUACAACUGAGGCAUGGGAGGACCUGCAACGUUUGCACGAAAAAGACGGCAUGCCUCCAAAGCAGUAUGAAGGUCCUGCCAGCUACGCUCUUACCAAAGAAGAGAAGGAGAUCUUCUUUGAAUGCCUGCUUAGUAUGAAGGUCCCGACUGGCUUCUGGUCGAAUAUAACAGGAAUAAUAAAUAUGGCAGAGAAAAAGUUUCAGAACCUAAAGUCUCAUGACUGCCAUGUGAUUAUGACGCAACUGCUUCCGGUUGCAUUGAGGGGGCUUCUACCGGAAAACGUCCGAUUAGCCAUUGUGAAGCUAUAUAUGUGCAUUCCUCAAUGCAAUCUCUCAGAAGGUGAUCGAUCCAGAAAUCAUACCAAGGCUAAGGAGUGAUGUGGUGCAAUGUCUUGUCAGUUUUGAGCUGGUGUUCCCACCAUCCUUCUUCAAUAUCAUGACGCACGUCCUAGUUCAUCUAGUUGACGAGAUUGUCAUUCUGGGCCCCGUAUUUUCACACAAUAUGUACCCCUUUGAGAGGUUCAUGGGAGUCCUAAAGAAAUAUGUCCGUAACCGCGCUAGGCCAGAAGGAAGCAUCUCCAUGGGCCAUCAAACAGAGGAUGUCAUCGGGUUUUGUGUUAACUUCAUUCCUGGCCUUAAGAAGAUAGGUCUCCCUAAAUCACGGUAUGAGGGGAGGCUGACUGGAAAAGGCACGCCUGGAAGGGACUCAAUAAUAUGCAGGUACGGAUAUUCUUGGUCUCAAGCACACAACACAGUUCUACAAAACUCUACCUUGGUGACCCCGUAUGUCGAUGAACACAAGAACAGUCUGCGCUCCAAACACCCGGAGUAGUGCGACGACUAGAUUACAUGUGAACACAUCAGGACUUUCAGCAGUUGGUUGGAAACACGUCUCAGAGGUGACAACACUGUUUGUGAUGAGCUGUACUUGUUGUCCAGGGGACCAUCUUCGACUGUUACGAUUUGGAAAGGAUACGAGAUAAAUGGGAAUACAUUUUACACGAUUGACCAAGAUCAAAAGAGCACCAACCAAAAAAGCGGUGUCCGCCUUGAUGCAACAACCGAGAGGGGAAAGGACACAUAUUAUGGUUAUAUAGUGGACAUAUGGGAACUUGACUACGGACAUGAUUUUAAGGUCCCUUUGUUUAAGUGCAAAUGGGUCAAUCUGUCAGGAGGCGGGGUACAGGUAGACCCACUGUACGGAAUAACAACAGUGGAUCUGAAAAAUCUUGGGUUCACUGAUGAACCAUUCGUCCUAGCCAAUGAUGUGGCACAUGUUAUCUAUGUGAAGGACAUGUCUACCAGACCGGAAAAAAGAAAAAAUAAGGAAGUGAAUACAUCAUACGAUGAGCCAAGAACACUCUCAACAGAAAGUUUAUAAUUUUUCUAAAACUAAUGGCACUAACAGAAAGUUUAUAAUUUUGCUGACCUAAAAGAAAAAGAAUUAAAAAAAUAAAGCAAAAAACAAAAAAAUGCAGAAAACAAAACAAAAAAACUGAAACAAAAUAAAAAUAGCAACAAUAAGUAUUUUAUUGUAAGUAGAAACAAAACAAAAUAAAUAAAGCAACAAAGAAAACAAAAAAACAAAAAAGUGUAUUCAAAUUUGAAAACUAAUGGCACUAACAGAAAGUUUAUAAUGUUUCUAAAAAUAAAAGCAAAAAANNNNNNNNNNNNNNNNNNNNNNNNNNNNNNNNNNNNNNNNNNNNNNNNNNNNNNNNNNNNNNNNNNNNNNNNNNNNNNNNNNNNNNNNNNNNNNNNNNNNNNNNNNNNNNNNNNNNNNNNNNNNNNNNNNNNNNNNNNNNNNNNNNNNNNNNNNNNNNNNNNNNNNNNNNNNNNNNNNNNNNNNNNNNNNNNNNNNNNNNNNNNNNNNNNNNNNNNNNNNNNNNNNNNNNNNNNNNNNNNNNNNNNNNNNNNNNNNNNNNNNNNNNNNNNNNNNNNNNNNNNNNCCCGAGCCCGCGCCGUCCUCGUCGCCGGCCUCCCCGAGCCCGCGCCGUCCUCAUCGCCGGCCUCCCCGAGUCCGCCAUCCUCGUCCCCGUCGCCGCGUGCCCCCCCGAGCCCACCCUCCUUGUCCCUGUCGCCGUGUGCCGCCCGAGACCGCCGUCCCCGUCAGCGUGUACCGCCCCGAGCCCCUGCCACAUCCCGCCCCCGCGCGCCGGCGCCCUCGCCGCCCCCACCGUCGCCAUCGUCAUCGCUAGCCGCCCCCGCUGUGAGCCGUCGCGCCGCCCCGUCUCUGCUUUUUUCAUUUUUAUUAGUUUAAUUUUCUUGUUCAUAUAUAUAUAUAAUGUAUAUGUGUAUGUAUGUGGCUAUGUGUAUGUAGAUGUUCAAAAUGUAUAAAAAAAUUGUUCAGAGCAUGUUUUUGUUCAUAUAUGUAUUUUUGUUCAUAUGUGUAUUAAUGUUUUCAUAUAUGCAAAAGAUAGAUUUUUAGAAAAGUUAGGAUUUUUUCUGUUCAAAUGUUUGUAUAUUCAUAUGAACAAUGCAUUAGGCAAAACCUUUGUUUUUUUUGAAAUUUUCUAUUUGAACAUUUUUUUAAAAACAAGCAAUACUAAAAGAAUGAGAGGAAAAAGGAAAAUAAGAAGAGGAAGAAAGGAGAAGAAGAGGAGAGGAAGAAGAGGAGAAAUAAAUAAGAAGAGGAAAAAACAAGAAAAAGAAGAGGAGAAGAAGAAAGGAAUAGAGGAGAAGAAGAAAAAAUAGAAAAUCUAUUUUUUCUUCUUCUCCUCUAUUCCUUUCUUCUUCUCCUCUUUUUUUUCUUCUUUUUUUCUUCUUCUUCUUCCUUCUUCCUUCUUCCUUCUUCCUCUUUUCUUCCUUUUCCUUAUUUUCCCAUGUAUAUGUAUGUCGUGUCGUUGUCGAUAUAACCCCCUCGAGAUAACUUCGACAUGAGGGGCGGUCGAUAUAUAUACCCCCUCUCGACCGUGAUAACUUAUACCACGGCAGCACCCCCCUCGACCCUCUCGCUCGACCAAAACUCUCGAGGACACCCAAACCCUAGAGAGAAAACGAUGUUGGUCUCCUACCCCCUCCCGCCGCGCCCCUACCCGACAAAUUAACUCUCUCGAGGCCACCCAAAUUUACCAAGUUAAAAGAGUGUUGUCGUCGAGGCCACCCCAAACCAUUGAAGCGUUGUGUCGAGGCCACCCCAAACCCUAGAGAAGCAGCGUCGAGGCCACUAACAUNNNNNNNNNNNNNNNNNNNNNNNNNNNNNNNNNNNNNNNNNNNNNNNNNNNNNNNNNNNNNNNNNNNNNNNNNNNNNNNNNNNNNNNNNNNNNNNNNNNNNNNNNNNNNUUUAGAAAAGUUAGGAUUUUUUCUGUUCAAAUGUUUGUAUAUUCAUAUGAACAAUGCAUUAGGCAAAACCUUUGUUUUUUCUCGAAAUUUUCUAUUUGAACAUUUUUUAAAAACAAGCAAUACUAAAAGAAUGAGAGGAAAAAGGAAAAUAAGAAGAGGAAGAAAGGAGAAGAAGUGGAGAGGAAGAAGAGGAGAAAUAAAUAAGAAGAGGAAAAAACAAGAAAAAGAAGAGGAGAAGAAGAAAGGAAUAGAGGAGAAGAAAAAAAAAUUCUAUUUUUUCUUCUUCUCCUCUAUUCCUUUCUUCUUCUCCUCUUUUUCUUCUUCUUUUUCUUCUUCUUCUUCUUCUUCUUCUUCCUUCUUCCUUCUUCCUUCUUCCUCUUUUCUUCAUUUUCCUUAUUUUCCCAUGUAUAUGUAUGUCGUGUCAUUGUCGAUAUAACCCCCUCGAGAUAACUUCGACAUGAGGGGCGCUCGAUAUAUAUACCCCCUCUCGACCAUGAUAACUUAUACCACGGCAGCACCCCCCUCGACCCUCUCGCUCGACCAAAUCUCUCUCGAGGACACCCAAACCCUAGAGAGAAAACGAUGUUGGUCUCCUACCCCCUCCCGCCGCGCCCCUACCCGACAAAUUAACUCUCUCGAGGCCACCCAAAUUUACCAAGUUAAAAGAGUGUUGUCGUCGAGGCCACCCCAAACCAUUGAAGCAUUGUGUCGAGGCCACCCCAAACCCUAGAGAAGCAGCGUCGAGGCCACUAACAUGAUUCCUUAUUGUGAUUAGCUAGCUAGUUCUACGUUUGCCACUAAUAUAUAUCCAUCUGUACCAUGUUUGAAUAAUAAUUGACAUGUUGUAAAUAUUUGCAGAAACUAUGGAGCACUCCCGAGACGAAGCAACAGAAGCGAUGUUGGGGGACAUAAUCGCACAAGGAAGUGAUGUCGUUGCGUCAUUUCUCAACGACACCGAUGGUCAAGAAGGACUGGGUGAAGAAGAGGGCUAUGUUCAUGAUGGCUCUGGCCCAUUAAUGCCGGUACAAGAAGAGGGCUAUGUUCAUGAUGGCUCUGGUGACCCAAUGGAGGUACAAGAAGGAGACCGUGUUGAUUGCUUCGGUGACUGAACCGAGUCCGCCAGGUAUAUAUAUAUUAGUUAAGCCCGUGCUGACUAGUUAAUUGAUGCAUUCAUUGUUUUGGUAUAUGUACACAUAUCAAUUAACUCUCGUCUUUCUUCCUUUUUCCAGCCCUCCGGAUCGAGCACAACUUCGGUAAGGAGACGAGGCCCGAAGAAAAAGUUGAGCUCAGAUGAAAGGUUUGAGUCGUAGAAAUCGCGCCCGACGAUGAUCCGAUUGAACCCAUCCGGACAAAGAACGCAUUUUCUGCUCAGUGCGGGGUUCUUGUUAGGGACAAGAUCCCGAUCAGCAUCGAGCAAUGGUAUAAGCCUAAGGAGGAAGACCCUGAGGUGUCUUAUGUCAAUGAUAUGCAGAAAGAAGAUCUUUGGACUCAGCUGAAGGCAAAUUUCACCCUACCGCCAGAGGAGGAUCCGGAGAAGCCAGUUAAAGAGCAAUUAAUCAAGUCUUGUGCUCUUAAGAAGAUGGCAACCCUAUUCAGGAGGUGGAGGAAAGAGCUGAACAAGUUUGUCGACAAAGAAGAGACACCAGAAUUCAUCGGAAAAUAUGAGAAGAUCAAAGAUCACUGGCCCGCAUUUGUGGCCCACAAGACAUCGGAAAAGAGUAAGAAGAUGUCAGCGACAAACAAGCAAAAUGCUGCGAAGAAGUAGUUUCACCAUCGCACGGGGUCAGGUGGCUACCUCAAAGCCCGGCCUAAGUGGUCCAAGGCUGAGAUUGAUCUACUUGAAAAAGGGAUCGAACCAGAGACAAUGAACUGGCUAGACCGUUGCCGGACUUGGUUCUUCGGGGCUGGCGGAACCUUGGACCCUGUAUCAGGGAAGUGCCAUUGGACGGACGCGUAACUGAAAAUACCAGUCAAGAGGCUUCGGAACUAUAUCAAUGCAGCGCAGCGAGGGGCGUUCAUUCCAGACAGGGAGAAGGACGAGCUCACAAUGGCCCUCGGGAAUCCUGAGCAGCCUGGACGGACACGAGGCACGCCAGGCUCCAUUCCGUGGAAGGUUGGUUUUCCGGAUGCAGGGGGUUACAAAACCCACGAGAGGAGGAAGAAACUGGAGCAGGGCCAACUGCAGGCGCUGCACGAAAGGGUAAUGGGGCUAGAGGAACGAGAAGAGUAACGAGAAGCAGCAGAUCAUAGCAAACGACUUGCCGAAGCUUCCCCCGAAGCUACCCCACCAUCUCAGCGUAGAAGCAGUGUGGCUUCCACCGAGCUGCUUCAGCUGGUGCAUGUCUUGGAGGCUCCUGUCAGCUAUCCCGUGGAUGCUAUCACGGAGUCUCAAAAUUGCUCUGAAGACUCCAUGCCUAUGUAGGAAGGAGCUCAUCAACCUUCCGAACUGGACGCCUCCGCCUCCUCCUCCUUCUCCGGCGAGUCAGGGCACUCCGCCUUCUCCACCGCCUCCUCCUCCGGCGAGGGACGAUCAGGGCACUGGUCCUCCUUCUCCGGCGCGUGGCGGCACUCCGCCUCCUUCUCCGCCUGCGCCGGCGCGCCCGAGCAGCCAGCAGCCUCCUCCUUCUCCGCCUCGCCAGCAAGGGUGGAAGAGACCCGCCGCAGCCCAGGCUGCUCCAGCGCGUCGUAGUCCUUCUCCUCCGCCUCGUAAGCAAGCACGAAAGAAGACAGACGCCGCAGCCGCUCCGUCUGCUCCGGCGUCUAGCAGCACAGCUAGAGGCGGGAGGCAAUACAGAUAAGGUCCACCUCUCAAGCCUCUAGAGAAGUUACCGUACGAGAGGACCGAGGAGGAAAAUGCGACGAUCGUGCGGACCCACGUGAAGGAGUUCUUUGAAGGGGUGAAAGCAAAGAGACAUCCACCUCCGGAGGAGAAGGUAGAUCCGGUGAAAGCAAAGCGCACUCUCGAUGCCCUGAGGAAACCGGCAAAGUCUCCGCCGAGAACCAACUAUGAGCGCAUUACUGAACAAACAUAUCUCCAAGCGGAGUGGUCGGGAAGUACUGUCAGACAUCAAAGGUCAAGAGAACGAGCAGCUGCGAAAAAAUUGACCAGCUCAGCGAACAAGCAAANNNNNNNNNNNNNNNNNNNNNNNNNNNNNNNNNNNNNNNNNNNNNNNNNNNNNNNNNNNNNNNNNNNNNNNNNNNNNNNNNNNNNNNNNNNNNNNNNNNNNNNNNNNNNNNNNNNNNNNNNNNNNNNNNNNNNNNNNNNNNNNNNNNNNNNNNNNNNNNNNNNNNNNNNNNNNNNNNNNNNNNNNNNNNNNNNNNNNNNNNNNNNNNNNNNNNNNNNNNNNNNNNNNNNNNNNNNNNNNNNNNNNNNNNNNNNNNNNNNNNNNNNNNNNNNNNNNNNNNNNNNNNNNNCCGCUCAAUGUGUCUAGCGGCAACAUCGUCGCUAAUGCUCCGGGGAUGGUGGCCGGUUAUGGCAAUCUACAAGAUUACCUGCAUGACGAUCAACUUUCUGAUUUCAUGGAGGUGGACGAACAUAGAUAUGAGUACGGGAAGCCUCUCGUCAAAGAUGAAAAAUCUCUAACAACGAUGAUGCGAAGAUUCCAUAAUUGGUACAUGAAAACCUGCAGAGAGUCUGGGGGGACGAAUAGUUUGUAUCUGAACAUUAAAGAAGAGCACGACCUCGUUGGAACUGAUAUGUUGUGUGUUCCAUUUGAAGAGUUCUUCGCGUUCUUCAAUCAAAAGGCCCUCGAUAAAUUAACGGUCUUUUGCUACUACCUGUAAGUACUAUUUCUGUCAUUAAGUCUCUAUAUAUAGCUCGGCUCUUUCAUUGCAUGUAUUUAUAAUUAAGUAUCCUCAAUAUAUUAUGCAGAUUGAAGAUCGUUGAGUGCAGAAAACAAGAAAUUUAUGAUAUUGGGUUCAUUAACACAAAUAUCAUAGAUGAAUUUCUAGUUAAAAAGCACGCCGAAGAGGCCGAGGCCAACUUGCUACAAUCGUUGAUCAAAAAUCAAAACAAAGAUACCAUACUCUUUCCUUACAACUUCAAGUGAGUGUUACUGUCGUGUGCAUAUUCGGUUUCCUUUAUUACUCGAGCGAGGUUAUAGUAAUGUAAUUGAUGAGCAUGCAAGCGCAGCUUCCACUAUGUUCUUCUGGAGAUUAAGCUUGAGCGGGGACUAGUAACUGUCUUAGACUUGAGCGAAAAGAUCCCGAAACCUAUGCGGACAUGACUAAAUUGCUCAACAAGUAAGUUCAAUCGAUCAUUAUCGCACCAUAUCGGUAAUUUUUUGUUCAUUUCCUGAUAUCUCAAGUAAUAAUAAUUAUUUUUUGUCUUGCAGGGUUUGGAAACAGUUCACCGCAGAAGCUCCGGGACUGCCGAAGGAACUGCGGUAUACAUACCCGAAAGUAAGUACUACUGGCUAGCUAGUUGCGCGCAUCUCCCGUUGAUUCUAUAGCUAUACUUUCAUUAUCAUUUUGAUUGACCUCUUUUUCUCGUAAAGUGCUUGUGGCACGAACAAGGGAAUGAUUUAUGUGGAUACUAUGUGUUCGAGUUCAUCUACAACGCGACUUUGAAAAAUAAGCGGGGCUACUCUAAAAGACAAUAUGAAGUGCGUAAGCAAUAAUAUUCACAAUUUCAUUUUGUUACACCAUCAUUUCUAUUGAGUUUCAUUCAUAUAUAUGUAUUAAUUAACUCCCUUCUUCAAAUUAGACGUGGCAGAUGCGGAAUGAACUCCUAGAACCAGAUCGCAUGAAAGCAAUUCAAGAGGAAUUGGCGGGAUUCUUUCUUGACCACGUCAUCAAUAAAGCCGGAGAAUACCAUGUUGAAGUUGAUUUCAAUUGCUAGGGGAUUGUAAUUAAGAGAUCUUACAUAUUGUAUAUGUAUGUAGCCAGUAGCGUCGGAUAGAUAAUACGAAAACUUGUUGUUCGACCAAUCUCUCGAAGAAGGAGAGGUCGAUCGAUCACUUCUCUCGGUAUGCAUGACGAACUUCUGUACUUAAUGGUUCCUUUCAUUUUCUUACUAGCUAGUGUGUCGAGGGCCUCUCUAUGUAUAGUACGUAGCGUCGACCAACCACAUACAUAAGAGAGGACACUUCUCUCUAUUAAUUAGCUAGCUAACACAAUAUCUGAAANNNNNNNNNNNNNNNNNNNNNNNNNNNNNNNNNNNNNNNNNNNNNNNNNNNNNNNNNNNNNNNNNNNNNNNNNNNNNNNNNNNNNNNNNNNNNNNNNNNNNNNNNNNNNNNNNNNNNNNNNNNNNNNNNNNNNNNNNNNNNNNNNNNNNNNNNNNNNNNNNNNNNNNNNNNNNNNNNNNNNNNNNNNNNNNNNNNNNNNNNNNNNNNNNNNNNNNNNNNNNNNNNNNNNNNNNNNNNNNNNNNNNNNNNNNNNAAAAAAAACAAAAACCCCACCCACUGGAAUGGUGACGCGUGGAUGCCUUUUGGUCCCGGUUGGUGCCACCAACCGGUACCAAAGGCCCCCCUGCCUGGGCUUGAUGCACCGGCCCAGUGGAGGACCAUCUGUCCCGGUUCGUGUUAGAACCGGGACUAAAGGGGGGAGGUAUCAGUAACGACCCAUUAGUCCCGGUUCAUGAACCGGGACUAAAGGCCCUUACGAACCGGGACAAAUGCUCCCUUUUCUACUAGUGCAGCAAGAUGCAUAGAGCUAAGGGCAUUUCUUACCGAGCCCCUAUAAAAUAGAGAAGCAUCCGACCAAGUAAGCCUUAGUGGAGUAUUUAUACUCUACUAUACUCCAUUAAGUUUUUGUCGGUUCUAGCCAACCCCCUAAACUUAGCAUAGUAAAACAUAAAUUUGCAUUAAUUCAACCGAGUUUCAACCGAAAUUUGCAUACAUUUAAACAUAAGUUCAACAAACAUAGUCUUGACAACAGAACAUUAAACAUAAAUUCAAACUUAAACUCCACUAAACUUAAACUACACUAGAAUACUCAUCUUUAUCGGUCAUAGUGGAGGUCAGGCCAAUCUUUCUUCGACAGGCCACAGCCUUACACCUCGUCGCCGGAGAUGACGAUGACCUCCCGCCAUUUUCGGCGAAUAUCGCCCGCUCUGCCUCCACGAGCUCGGGGUGCUGGCGGCGGAGGUCCUCACUGUACGCCUCCUCAGUGGACUAUGCCUCGAGGUGCUCCCUCGCCUCUCGGUCCUCCCGAGCCAUCGUCGCGCUUACCACACCCGGCGCUGGCGGGAUGAGGUGGACCGACGCAAUCCCAAACGGGAAGUUCAGCCUCGUGGCAGCGUCGUGGAACCAGACUUGCUACUAUUCAUACUCCAUCACCGUGGGCUCCGCCGUGUGGUACGACCCGGCCCACUUCCUCUUGUGGGUCUCCCGGUCGGUGACCUCCACCACCCAUGUCCCCCACGCGCACUGCCGGACACUGAUAUAUGUCCUUUGCGGCGGCCGCGACGGAGGUUGCUAGGGGAAGUCGGCAAACCGGGCGGCGGCGGGCGAAUCGGGUGAGCGGUGGCGGCUCGAAGAUGCGCCGCUAGAGGAUGAACCGGGGGAGUAGCGGCGGAUCGACGGAGGGGACCAUUGGCCACCACGCGCGUCCGGCCAUUGGGAGGAGAGGGGGCGGCCGGGAACGGCGCAGGAGGCUCCGACGGAUGGGCGAGGGGAAGGAGGGUAAGGAGAGGAGGGAGGGAAGAUAUUUUUACUCAAUCGCCGAGUGGUGGAGUAAAUACAGGGAGAUUCGCCGCGGCUGAGUAUAAUUUUUACUCCACUAACGCCGACUGGGGAUCGGCUAGGUCGCGAUUUGUUUUACUCCUCUAACCGGUUAUUGGGAUUGGUUAGAAAUGCCCUAACCUACUCUGCUCGCAUUAGAAAACAAGAGCAGAUAACCUGCUCUGCUCUGCAUGCAACUUGUUUUUGUUGACAUGCAUUUCCAUCGGCCGGCAGCUUGUUUUUCCUUUAACAUCUAGUUGGUGUGUUCUCCAUCCCAUGCUAUUAGUGAUCAUUCUACUUCUCAUUUUGGUAGGCAUGUUUGUGCAAAAUUUUCUUAAUAUAUGUACAAAAUAAAUUUGAGAAAUGAUCUCAGGGAUAAUAUUUUGGUUGGCAGUUGGCUACAUCCGGAUAUUUUUCUUUUAUCCAUUGAUGACAACAAACCAGCAACUACCAGUUGCGUUGUGCUGAAGAAAGGUAUAGAAAAUAGGAAUAGUGCAGCAUGACAAACAAAAUUGUUGCAUCUAUCAUCGUGGUAGUACCAUACGACUUGUAGGUGCUGAAAAGUUUCGCUAUAAAUAGGCGGGCAUUUUGGUUCAAGGACGGCCACAAAGCAAGCAAGCAGCUAGCAUUCCUUGCAAAGACUAGAACAGAAAGAGAUCUCCAAGCACGCGACGAUAUGGUAGGAGUAUCAGCCUACUGCCUAUCUAGCUUUCUACUUCCUUUGUUUUGUAGACUAAUAUAUGAUGUUUUAGAUCACUAGUGAAGAUCGAUUACUUUAUUAUUGUAUAGGUAACCUAACAAAAGAUAUACUCCUCCAUCGAUUAACCGCGUCCGUGCAUGCAGUCAACGCCGGCGAUGAAGAUCGGCCCGUAUGGCGGCCCAGGAGGUAAUCACUGGGACAUUAAUGCUCUCAAUCCGCCCAAAAGGCUUGUGAGCAUCCAGAUUUGGAGCACUGAUUCCUCCUGCGAAGGGGCCGGCGGGGUCAUCAACGGCAUCUCGUUCAGCUAUCUUGACAUGGCAGGGCAACUAAUCCCCUCGGGUCCAUGGGGCUCCCAGACCGGUAAACCCCACGUGGUACGUACGUGCAUGUGAUAUUGGAAAGAGUACGUAUAUAUUUGUUUAAUUUUUACUUAUAUAUCUUGUGAUCUACCUGCAUACUUAUUUUAUGCAGAUUAACAUUGGUGAAGACGAGCGCCUGAUCACUGUCUACGGCACCAGCGAUGGCAAGUUUGUCACCUCGCUUAAAUUUGUCACUGACCGGGCUUCUGAUCCGUAUGGGCCAUACGGGGCACCGUCUACCAUAAGUACUUUCAGCUUCCAGGGCGGCUCCAUCCUCGCCUUCUUGGGCCGCUCCUCAGAGAAACUCAAUGCCAUCGGCGCCUACAAACUUGGGGUUUGAUCCAUCUAUCCAUCAUGGCCAGCAUACGUGUCUGCUGACUUCCGUAUGUUUGGCUUCGGUGGAUACAUGUGUUCGACCUAUAUCUACUGCUUGUAUUUGCAGCUAAAUAAAAUGGGGAUCCCUCGCUGCUGCAUCCUAUGGAUGGAUGGAUCCCUGCCGUCCGUGCGUGUGUGCGCGUGCUCGCUCUUUGUUUCCAUAUAUAUUGUAUCGUCCUAGCCUGUGUAACU